GCCCGUUGCUUUUUAUAUCCGGACGGUGAAGUUCCGAAGGAUGCUCUGGUGAUUUGCGGGAUGUUGUGUAUCGAUUGAAGGAACGGUCAAGGAAUGAAAAUGGUCUGCUAAAUGCCAGCUUGGCGAAGAACAUGAUGCUAGAUGCGUAUGUGUGUGAUUUAGAAGUCAGCAUCGUGGAGAAGUUGAUGUCCUGAAGAAGAGGAUUCAGAAACUGCAGUUGUCCUUUGUGCUUGCUCUGUUCUGCUUUGUCAUUUCACACUUUUGGAAAUGAUUGUCAUGAAGAAAAAGAAGCAUCCUGGUGAAAUUAGUCCAAUAGGGAGUCAUUUAUGUAUGUUGUUUUUCUUUGUAAGCUGUUAAGCAAAAUUCAGAAUGUAUGAUGUUAAAAAGGUUUAGAAUUUGUCUUGUAUCUUGUUAUGCAAAAUUCAGAAUUUGGUACAAUGCUUCUUGGAAGUGUUAUGAAAAUAUUUGGAAUUUGGUACAAUGCAAAAUCGCAAUGCUAUGGCUGAUCUUCUUAUGUAUAUUGUAUACUGUAUGCUGAUCUGAAAAGAUUCGGAAUAUAUGUCUGAUCUUCUUAUAUGUGUUCUCAUGUAUGCAAUACUCUGUUUUAUUUACAGUGAACCAAAUAUACAAAUAUAGUGUAUGCUGUUAUGAAAAGAUCAUCUCACUGUAGAUGCACUAAAUGAAAUUUUGCUAUCUUGUUCAGUGACUGUGCACCAAAAUGACAGUACAAUUUCAGUACUGACUUGUACAAGCCCUGAAGUACUAUCUUGUUCAGUUCUGACAGCACACCUUGUGCAUUUUUGUGCUUCACAGAGUUAUAUUAGGAAAAAAAAUUAUGUACUUCAUAGAAUGUAAAUAACAACAAAUUGACAGUAAACUGUUCCAAAAGAUCAUGUACUUCACAAUACACCAUAAUUGAGAGUACAUUAUAGCAAAUAGAUGUUCCUAUCUUGCUGAAAUAAACAUAUGGACCCCAUAAACUAAUUCAAACAAAAACACUUCAUUCAGACAAGUAUAGCAGAUAAUUUACUAUGGACUAACAUGUUCAGUUCAUUCAGACAAGAAAGUGCACUUUUCUCCUUAACUAAACAGGGUAAUCAUCCACAAUAAAUUCUCCUAGCAAUGCAAGUUCAUUCAGACCCAUUUACUUUGCACGAGAGAUACCAGCUUGUCCUGCACCAAAAUCUGCUGAAAAGUCACACCUUUUCCCUAACAAAAACAUCCCUUUUUUCAUGAACAGAAUAGGGCAUCAUCCAAAACGCACUUGAACAGAACAGGGCGCAUCCAAAACACUACUUCUCCCCCUAAAUCCCUAGCACCGAGACGCCCCAUUCCCCUCACCCGAGCCCACACCUCUGCGGCGCACACGAUCGUUCACUGGAGCUCACGAUUCCGCCGAUGAACGACACCACAAGUGAAGCAGAGCAGCAACGAAGAUGGAGGCGCACGCACCUGGACACAUGCUUUCGUUCCUUCGGCGACGGGCAAGCGGCAGAUGACGGCGGCGGCGGCGGACGGGGACGGCGGUGACGGCGGACAGCGCCCUAGCAAACGAAAGGGGAGAGGCGUUUCUGGAGGCGACGGCGCUCUGACGAAGAAAGCAAGGAAGGAGACGAGGUGAUAAAAGGAAAGAAAUGAGAGAGACAACUGACUAAUGGGACCUUCUCAGCGUAAUUUGCCCAGUCAGCGCGUAAUCUGCAUCAUGGGGGACAAAGCCGCUCUAGAUUGGACAAAAACCACUCAAGGGGGUUAUUAACCCGGUUUUAGUAAUUUCAGGGUGUUAUUUGUCCCGGUUUUGAGUUCAGGGGGUUAUGUAUUCCAAAGAGUAGAUUUGGGGGUGAUUUGUAUACUUCUUUCUUUUCGAAAUGGAGUUGAUGAGUUAAUUGUACCACAUCGGUUGUGCAGAAAUAGUUCGAGGAUUGACCGGGCUAUAAGUGCUAGAUCUCUGGAUACAGAUAACUCAUCCUUGCGCUUGGGGCAAUGACGCAACUAGUGAAGUUAUACCGAGGCGCGUCAAUUGCUGGUUCCCUGUGCCGGGGCGCGAGCGGGGGCGUCGCGACGGCUGCCGUCUACGCCCUGGAACGCUUCGACGGCACGCGAGCCUCCUUCGCCAACUUCAUAUGGGGGUGCGCUGCACCGUCCCGUGUCCGGUUCUUUGGGUGGCUCCUUGUACAACAGAGGAUUCACACGAGAGAUGUCCUGCUCCGGAAGACUAUUGUGACGGCUGAGGAAGCUACAUGCCCCGUGAUCGAGACGGCGGAUCACCUGAUCUUCGAUUGUCCCCUUGCCCGCUCGUUCUGGCUGACCGUGGGCGUUGAGGUGGCCGAGAAGGGUUACCAUGUUGGUGCGCUUCAGGCCCUGGACGUGCGGGGUGUGGCCGGUGAUGUUGCCCAUGCCUCCUUCACCCUCAUUUGCUGUUGGCAGUUGUGGAAGCAUAGAAAUGUCGUGGUGUUCCAAGGCGCCCGGCCUUCCCUGGCCCGUUUGCUCGGGUGCUGCCGGGAAGACUCGGUCCUUUGGAAAGGCCGUUUGAAAGUGGCCGACUGGCCGUGCGUAGAUAGGUGGCUGCGCGCGUUCUCUCAGGCGAAUUACCCCUCUCAGUCCCUCUCUCCCUCCCCCACAUGUGUAAAAACCUUCCCCUUUCCAGGGGUGUGAUGUAAUAGAAAAAAGAAAAAGAUUCAGGUGGACCUUCAAAAAAAAUUUUGCUGGUUGAAAACUAUACCCUCUUUGGCCAUCACUGGUCACUAAGAAUUUCCGGAAGGGUUCCCUCCCGGCGAGGGUAAAACCCAACAAAUCCAAAAUUAAAAUCUUUAACCCCACGCUGCCGCGAUCUUCCAGCCCUAAAAGCACCUUGUGCAAGGACGAGCACAACCGAAGAUCCAGAGCACCCGACCUCUUCUUCUCAACCAAAGAGAAUGAAGCAUCGGCAUUUGCUUUGAUCCAUCUCCAGCAAAGGCCAUCUUUCCUUAACCAUCAUUGUUGUCUUUGUUGCCUCGCCUUGCUCAAGCCAAGGCAGACAGACUUUUCUCUCGUCCCCAAAGUAUAUAGUAUCAGCCUUUCCUUCCUGGUCCGCUAAGCUUUGGAUCCCACUCCGGUGCCGACGGCGACCUCGCACCGGAUGUUCACGUGCAACCAAACUUCCCUGUACUGUGCAUCGAGAGCUACCAGAGCGCACCAGCAGCCACGACUUGCGUACAAGGGCUCACUGAUCCAAUUCCAACGUAAUCUGGAAUCGAGAUGAUGAUCAAGUAAUCAGUCUCUUGAGCCCGGGUGGUACUGCGUCCAAAUCUGAUAAUGAGCCGAUACAUUGCUGGUCCUUCCUCCCGUCUAUGCAGGCCUGCGCUCACGCGCGGCGAUGGGGAUCGCGGAAGCUUGCCCGCGCGUUCCGGCCGGGUCCUUGACCCCCUUGCAAAGCACAUGACUGACAGAGGCAUUUUGGCGAGAAGCUUCCUGGCAGACGGCCACAGACGCAACGAAAAUCCGGACUGUUCUGACUGCGUCGCCCGACCCGUCGUGGAUCGUUGAUUGCCGUCGUUAGCCGGCCGGCCGUGGUUUCUCUUCCGUGCGACUGUGAGCCGGUGACGAGAUGGGUUAUGGGUACAUGCCAUGAUCCUGAACCUGAACGCUACAUAGAUUGCACCCAUGCCUUGCAAGAAAAGGAGCAUCGCGACGGCCGCGCGAUCCACUUGAGCGACCCAUCCUUGUGCAAACGCUUCGUGUCCCUGCUCUCCGCUACCACCACAUCAGAUACCAGCAGUCGAGAUCACACCCGAAAGCGGAGAAUUCUCCGUCCAUCCCUGGCUGGACGCGAGAAGAACACGAGGACUCGAGGAGAAGCGGUUGGUGCCCCAGCAGGACAAGCGAGAACCGGGCCGGGACAAGAGGAGCAAUUCAGAUUCCUCACGAUUCCACCCCGACUACUUGCUCUCUCUCGCGGAAAGUGGCCGCGGUCGCUCUCCGGCUUUGUCCCGGCCAGCGCGGGCCUUCGUCGCGUCCGAGAGCACGGCGCGCGAAAGCCGAACCAUCCACUGGCCCUGGAACAUCGCUGUUGCCGCAAAGAAGUUCUUUGGACGACGCGCGCAGAUCCAUCACUUUUCGCUGUUCUGGUAGGUGGCCCGUGGCCGGCCGAACAGUGGAAGCGGAUGGAUGCAGAGUGGCGCUGGAGGGCCGACGACGACGACGGCCUGCGAGCAGUGUGACAGGAGGCUUGUUGUCAUUGGGUCUGUACUGUACCGUGCGCCUGCAGAUGAGACUUGACGGCAGUUCGGCUCGCAGCUGAUCAUCGCGUUAGGUUCUCGACGGGUCGCCGUCCGUGGGGACGUGCGCAUGCUUGGCACUCGAAGCAGCAGCCUCGUCAGGUUCUUAGCGCCCGAUCAUCAGCUAGUCCAAAUAAUCUCUCUUCUUGACAAAGCAUGAAAAAGAAGUUAUAUGCACCACGGUCUGUCUUGUGUCUGUCUGCUUGGAUUCAUCCACAGCCCAACACUGUGAGCUCCUCUCGACGUCUGAACUCUGAGCUGAGCACAAACAAAAACAGAGAAGAAAGGGUGUGUGUGUGCGUGUGCUCCAAGGCCGCCGGCCGGCAAUGCACGCAUCGUUUUCCCAGCAGUAGCACAGCUAAGGCGUUGCCUUGGUGUUGAAAAUGAUCGCGAGAUGAUUGGGCAAGGCAAUGCAGUGGGGAUGGUAUCUGCCAAAGAAACUAGGCUCGUUGCUUCAGGCGUAAUCAGGGACAAAUAAGUCAUCUGAGAAAACUUAGUCAAAUGGCUCAAUCAUAUGCACAUUGAGAGCACUGAUACAGUGUCGUGUGGUGGACAGAACACAAGCAUUCAGGCUUAUAUGCUCCACUGGUAUGUCGAUAGCUCCAAGUGAAGAGACAAUGUUUAUUAGGGAUAUACGUUAUUAAAGUACUAAAGGCAUAAAUAUAUCAUGUACUCCUUUCGUCUCAUAUUAUAAGAACGUUUUUGACACUAGUGUACAGAGUGAGUGAUUGCUAGUUAGAGGCACAAUGUGUGAUACUACUAUCAAGUUCUCUAGUUAAACUUUCUGAAUUUGCUAUACGGCACACACAACGCACAAAUUAAAUUGUUUAUGGACAAUACAAAACUGAAUGAGAUGCAAAUGUCAGGCGAGUGCUCUUUUAAAGGAAUGUUAAACUCCCCCGACUUCCAUGUCCGCGGAUACACAUAGCCACAAUAUUAUUGAAGUUGAUACAAGGUAAUGCAACCAAAGCAUCAACAAGCAAGUACAGGAAAUAGGCAACAAUGAUAGAGCCAUGACAUGACAUGACAUGUAAACACUUAUGACUAACUCAUUUUCUUCUGCAGCAACGCCUCCAAGAAGAACACACGGCAACAACACAAUUAUGCCAAGUUCAACCAAUCAAGGCUAGAGUGUCGGUCCAGAAAAUGCCUUCAACAAGUUAACAACACAAUUAUGUCGUUAUUGAGUCGGAUGAGUAAAGGCCAGAGCAUGGAUCCCCACCCCCGGCAUGAAGUGGUAUUUCUGUCACCAUGUUGAUGGCAGAUUUUCCAGAAGCUCUCUCACCUAGCAGUCAUCAAGAAAACCACAAUGGAAUCCUAAUUAGAUAGUUGUAAAGUAACCCGUAAACCGAAACUUAUCACAAAUGUGCACCAAAACUGGCCUAGAUAGAGGAUUGGCCUCGAUUGGUUGUCCUCGGACUCAUGAGACAAAAAGGAAGAGACGACAGCAUGAGUCGCAUCAAGAUCCGUUGAUCAUAUAGAUUUGCAAGCACACCAUUGAUGCGCUUGCGGUCUGUGGAUGAUAGCACAUAAGCUUCACCAUAAGAGAGUCACCUACCUGUUUGCCUCUAAUGGAGAAGUGUUAUAAUGUGGCGGUGACAAAGGCCGAGCUAACGGGAAGUCGAUGAUGAGACAUCUCCUACAAAAAGCUGCCACCAGUCAAGACGGAUCAUGGUCAAGCAGCAUGCCGACGCCCGCCACUGCUCCUACACGGAGGGAGCCGUGCUUGCCGGUGAAAGGAUCACGAUGGAUUGCCACCGACUCGAUCAAUCGUCGCAGUUCCCCACAACUACACUGACAUGUCCACCAUUGCCGGAUUCCGGGGGUCAUCACCCUAGUGUUUGAGCUUUAUUUUUCCAUCGCCCAUGGUUAUCACAUUGCCAUAGUCAGAGGCCCCCUCUUCGUGCGAGAAAAGACCCCCCCCCCUCCCCCUCCGCAACCCUCUCGACCAUCUAUUUAGUUGGCUUUACCCGGUAGCAUCAUCUGAUGACGGGGAGAGGAAUAUGAUGGGAGGAGACAAUAGUAGCGGCGGUGGCUAGGUUUCACCUUUCGUCCCAAAGCUUCCCUAAGAAUGACGCGAAUGAGUUGCAUUCACAAAUAAUAAUAUUUCCUUGUUGCGGAUGAGGUGAAUGAGUGAUGCAAAUCACACAAAAAAAUUUCCUCGACGGGCAAGGAUAGUGGUAUCUCAUGAUUAAAAAAAGGAAAUAUAUUCAAAAUCACCAUGUGGAAUGCUCCUUUUUCUUCCAGGUAUAAUAAUGCUCCUUUUUUUGCAGGAUAUAUAUAGAAUGCUCCUUGUACUACACCCAGAGGAGUACAAAAUUUUACCAAAUAUUGCAUAUUUGAAUUCCUUUGCCUGCAACUCGGGGAACAAUUUGGAAGCAUCCGUGUUCAUGAAGAAAAAAUGGCAUGUGUGUAUUUCCAUUUAGAACCGAGUGAAAGCCCACCAUGAUUAUGAUAUUCAUAAUGUUGAAGUCAUGGUUAGUCACGUCGCUGCAAAGUUCUUUGGUUCCAGAAGGCUCGGACCGGUAGUAGUUAGCAUAUCAGCGAGAAGGAUAGCUUGCCAGAACUCUACACGGACGUCAUUGUACUUGUACCCCCAGACCAAAAUAAAGGACACUGGAGAUAUGAUGGGCCAGUUGGUUCAUCUUAAAUGUCAUUUCGCAACGCGUGUGCGUGUUGUUGAUCUAUGUUCCCUUCAGAAGCCAAUCUGGUGUUUGGGCUCUGUUUUUCCAUUGUCCAUGAUCGUCACAUUGCCAUAGUCGGAGGCCUCCUCUCCGCGCGAGAAAAGAACUCCCUCCCCCUCUCAGCACUACUCCCGACUAUCUAUUUAAUCAAUAUGAUGGGAGGAGACGAUAGUAGCGGCGGUGGCUAGGUUUCAUCUGAUGUUGCAAGCUUCCCUAAGAACGACGCGAACGACUUGCAUUCGCAAAUAAUAAUGUUUCCUUGUGACGGAUGAUGCGAUUAAGUGAAAACUGAUUACGAGCUUGUAUGGUGCAAAUCACAUAGAAGUUUUUUUUUCUCUAGCGGGCAAGGAUGGUUGUACGCUCCUUUUUGUUUCAUGCAUAUAGAAUACACCCUUUUUCGCGGGAUAUAUAGAAUGCUCCUUGUACUACACCCAAAGCAGUACAAAAUUUUACCAAAUAAAGAUGACCCUUGAGUCUGCAGAACCUAAGGGGAAAAGACUUAUGUGGCAAAUGGUAAAACUAAGGUUGGGCCUUGCUGGAGGAGUUUUAUUCAAGGCGAACUGUCUUGGGGUUCCCAUUAUAACCCAACCGCGUAAGGAACGCAAAAUCAAGGAACAUAACACCGGUAUGACGGAAACUAGGGCGGCAAGAGUGGAACAAAACACCAGGCAUAAGGCCGAGCCUUCCACCCUUUACCAAGUAUAUAGAUGCAUUAAAUAAAUAAGAGAUAUUGUGAUAUCCCAACAAAAUCCAUGUUCCAACAAGAAACAAAAGUCAAUCUUCACCUGCAACUAGCAACGCUAUAAGAGGGGCUGAGCAAAGCGGUAACAUAGACAAACAACGGUUAGCUAGGACAAGGUGGGUUAGAGGUUUGACAUGGCAAUAUGGGAGGCAUGACAUAGCAAGUGGUAGGUAUCACGGCAUAGCAAAAGAGUGAGCAACUAGCAAGCAAAAAUAGAAGUGAUUUCGAGGGUAUCGUCAUCUUGCCUGAGAUCCCGCAAGGAAGAAGAACGAGUCCAUGAUGAAGACAAACGGACGUAGAUAAACGGAUCCUCACAACUCCGGAACGAAACCGAAGCUAACGCGAGAAGUAACCCGGAAAGAAGCAAACAACAUAGUAAACAACCAUCACAUAAACAUGGCAUGAUGCACAAUCAAGUAUGAUGCAUGUCCGGUUUAAAUAUGCAUGGCAUGGCAAAGUGCACAAACAAUACUACAAAUUAAGUGGAGCUCAAUAUGCAACGAGUUGCAUAUUGACGAAACACCACAUGACUUAUUUAGUUCUCUCUCAUUUAGGUACUCAACAAAAUUAAAUGUUGGUUAACAUGGCAAGAGGUGAAACAUGAGUAGAAAACACGGUUAGGCAUUUUAAAUGAGGCCGGAAACAUCAACCAACAAAUCCGGUAAAACCCCAUAUGCAUUUAGCAAUUUAAUGUAGCAACAAUGUUAAACAUUUUAAUUGUUGUUAUCAUGAUGCGGAUGACAUGAACAAGUUUAUGCAAUUUUUUAUUAAAAGUUGACAAGAGCAUUACGACGCAUUUGUCACCGUGGUGAAAAGGAAAGGGGUGCCACGGCAACGAUAACGAAAACGGUGCCACGGCAGCGUUUCGGUUCCGGUAACUCGAUUGGGAUACUGAUGCAAAGGAGAAGUGUGCAGAUGCGUGCAAAAGAUGGUGGGGCGCUCCCGGAUUCCGGGUGUCCCACGAGUUGGCGACAAGGAAACGAGUGACAAUUUGGACACGGUGCAAACAUGAGCAUCUCAAACAUCGCAAGCAUUCGUUCACGGACGUCGUCUCGAGGUUAUACCUUCAAAGCGUGCAAGCGGGUGCAAAGUAGAGGAAGUAGACGUUCUCGCGACGGCGGUAGUGGAAGUAGUCGUUCUGGCACGCUCUAGGGUUGACGGUAGAGAUUCUCGCGAUCUCGGCGAUGGUAGUGGUACAUGUUUAUCGUUGCACGAGUUUCCAUAGACGUUCAUGUCAUCGGUGUCGUGGUACUUGGGGUCUUCAGACUUUCCGGUCCCGUUCUUGCGAUGAUAGUCGUUCACGUUCGUUCGGAGAGGUACUUGAUGACUCCAACGUUUUCGGGGCGACGGUAGUUGUACACGGUCCACGAGACGUCGAUCAUUCGGGGUCCGACUUGCGGGUCUUGCCGACAUGAGGCGUUUUUGUGUAGACGAACUUGGCGCAUCCGAAGGGUCACACUUGUCGUCGUGGGAACUUGGUGAAUCCGAGGUCUUCGAGGUCGGCGGUAGUGAAGGAAAUAUGCCCUAGAGGCAAUAAUAAAGUUAUUAUUUAUUUCCUUAUAAUCAUGAUAAAUGUUUAUUAUUCAUGCUAGAAUUGUAUUAACCGGAAACAUAAUACAUGUGUGAAUACACAGACAAACAAAGUGUCACUAGUAUGCCUCUACUUGACUAGCUUGUUAAUCAAAGAUGGUUAUGUUUCCUAACCAUGAACAAUGAGUUUUUAUUUGAUUAACGAGAUCACAUCAUUGAGAGAAUGAUCUGAUUGACAUGACCCAUUCCAUUAGCUUAGCACCCGAUCGUUUAGUAUGUUGCUAUUGCUUUCUUCAUGACUUAUACAUGUUCCUAUAACUAUGAGAUUAUGCAACUCCCGUUUACCGGAGGAACACUUUGGGUACUACCAAACGUCACAACGUAACUGGGUGAUUAUAAAGGAGUACUACAGGUGUCUCCAAAGGUACAUGUUGGGUUGGCGUAUUUCGAGAUUAGGUUUUGUCACUCCAAUUGUCGGAGAGGUAUCUCUGGGCCCUCUCGGUAAUGCACAUCACUUAAGCCUUGCAAGCAUUGCAACUAAAUGAGUUAGUUGCGGGAUGAUGUAUUACAGAACGAGUAAAGAGACUUGUCGGUAACGAGAUUGAACUAGGUAUUGGAAUACCGACGAUCGAAUCUUGGGCAAGUAACAUACCGAUGACAAAGGGAACAACGUAUGUUGUUAUGCGGUCUGACCGAUAAAGAUCUUCGUAGAAUAUGUAGGAGCCAAUAUGGGCAUCCAGGUCCCGCUAUUGGUUAUUGACCGGAGACAUGUCUAGGUCAUGUCUGCAUUGUUCUCGAACUCGUAGGGUCCGCACGCUUAAGGUUACGAUGAUUGUUAUAUUGUGAGUUUAUGCAUUUUGAUGUACCGAAGGUUGUUCAGAGUCCCGGAUGUGAUCACGGACAUGACGAGGAGUCUCGAAAUGGUCGAGACAUAAAGAUUGAUAUAUUGGAAGCCUAUGUUUGGAUACCGGAAGUGUUCCGGGUGAAAUCGGGAUUUUACCGGAGUACUGGGAGGUUACCGGAACCCCUCGGGAGCUAAAUGGGCCAUGAUGGGCCUUAGUGGAAAAGAGAAGAGGCAGCCCUACAUGGGCCGCGCGCCUCUCCCCUCCCUUGGUCCGAAUAGGACAAGGAGAGGGGGCCGGCCCCUCUCUCUCUUUUCCCCCCUCCGCGAAUCCUAUUCCAACUAGGAUUGGGGGGGGGGAUCCUACUCCCAGAGGGAGUAGGACUCUCCUGGCACGCCCUCCUUGGCCGGCCAGCCUCCCCCCUCUAGUCCUUUAUAUACGGAGGCAGGAGCACCCAGAGAGACACAAGUUGAUCCACGUGAUCUAUUCCUUAGCCGUGUGCGGCGCCCCCAGCCACCAUAGUCCUCGAUAAUAUUGUAGCGGUGCUUAGGCGAAGCCCUGCAACAGUAGUACGUCAAGAUCAUCACCACGCUGUCGUGCUGACGGUACUCUUCCCCGACACUUUGCUGGAUCGGAGUCCGGGGAUCGUCAUCGAGCUGAACGUGUGCUAGAACUCGGAGGUGCCGUAGUUUCGGUGCUUGAUCGGUCGGAUCGUGAAGACGUACGACUACAUCAACCAAACGCUUCCGUUGUCGAUCUACUAGGUAUGUAGAUAAUACUCCCCCUCUCGUUGCUAUGCGUCACAUGAUCUUGCGUGUGCGUAGCAAAUUUUUUGAAAUUACUACGUUCACCAACAGUGGCAUCCGAGCCUAGGUUUUAUAUGUUGAUGUUAUUUGCACGAGUAGAACACAAGUGAGUUGUGGGCAAUAUAAGUCAUACUGCCUACCAGUAUGUCAUACUUGUUGGGUAACGUAGCAGAAAUUCAAAAAAUUUCUUACGUAUCACCAAGAUCUAUCUAUGGAGAGACCAGCAACGAGUAGAAAGAGAGUGCAUCUACAUACCCUUGUAGAUCGCUAAGCGGAAGCGUUCAAGUGAACGGGGUUGAUGGAGUCGUACUCGUCGUGAUUCAGAUCACCGAUGAUCAAGUGCCGAACGGACGGCACCUCCGCGUUCAACACACGUACAGCCCGGUGACGUCUCCCACGCCUUGAUCCAGCAAGGAGAGAGGGAGAGGUUGAGGAAGACUCCAUCCAGCAGCAGCACAACGGCGUGGUGGUGGUGGAGGAGCGUGGCAAUCCUACAGGGCUUCGCCAAGCACCUACGGGAGAGGAGGAGGUGUCACGGGAGGGAGGGAGGCGCCAAGGGCUCAGGUAUGGAUGCCCUCCCUCCCCUCCACUAUAUAUAGGGGCAAGGGAGAGGGGGGAGGCGCAGCCUUGCCCCCUACUCCAAGAAAGGGGUGCGGCCAAGAGGGGGGGAGGAGUCCAUCCUCCCCAAGGCACCUCGGAGGUGCCUUCCCCCUCGAGGACUCUUCCCUCUAGGGUUCCCUAGGCGCAUGGGCCUCUUGGGGCUGGUGCCCUUGGCCCAUGUAGGCCAAGGCGCACCCCCUACAGCCCAUGUGGUCCCCCGGGGCAGGUGGCCCCACCCGGUGGGCCCCCGGGACCCUUCCGGUGGUCCCGGUACAAUACCGAUGACCCCGAAACUUGUCCCGAUGGCCGAAACAGGACUUCCUAUAUAUAAAUCUUUACCUCCGGACCAUUCCGGAACUCCUCGUGACGUCCGGGAUCUCAUCCGGGACUCCGAACAACAUUCGGUUACCACAUACAAGCUUCCUUUAUAACCCUAGCGUCAUCGAACCUUAAGUGUGUAGACCCUACGGGUUCGGGAGACAUGCAGACAUGACCGAGACGUUCUCCGGUCAAUAACCAACAGCGGGAUCUGGAUACCCAUGUUGGCUCCCACAUGUUCCACGAUGAUCUCAUCGGAUGAACCACGAUGUCAAGGACUCAAUCAAUCCCGUAUUCAAUUCCCUUUGUCUAUCGGUAUGUUACUUGCCCGAGAUUCGAUCGUCGGUAUCCAAUACCUUGUUCAAUCUCGUUACCGGCAAGUCACUUUACUCGUUCCGUAACACAUCAUCCCGUGAUCAACUCCUUGGUCACAUUGCGCAUAUGAUGAUGUCCUACCGAGUGGGCCCAGAGAUACCUCUUCGUUUACACGGAGUGACAAAUCCCAAUCUUGAUCCGUAUAAAACAAUAGAUACUUUCGGAGAUACCUGUAGUGCACCUUUAUAGUCACCCAGUUACGUUGUGACGUUUGAUACACCCAAGGCACUCCUACAGUAUCCAGGAGUUACACGAUCUCAUGGUCAAAGGAAGAGAUACUUGACAUUUGCAAAGCUCUAGCAAAUGAACUACACGAUCUUUUGUGCUAGUCUUAGGAUUGGGUCUUGUCCAUCACAUCAUUCUCCUAAUGAUGUGAUCCCGUUAUCAACGACAUCCAAUGUCCAUAGCCAGGAAACCAUGACUAUCUGUUGAUCACAACGAGCUAGUCAACUAGAGGCUCACCAGGGACAUAUUGUGGUCUAUGUAUUCACACGUGUAUUACGAUUUCCGGAUAAUACAAUUAUAGCAUGAAUAAAAGACAAUUAUCAUGAACAAGGAAAUAUAAUAAUAAUACUUUUAUUAUUGCCUCUAGGGCAUAUUUCCAACAGUCUCCCACUUGCACUAGAGUCAAUAAUCUAGUUCACAUCGCCAUGUGAUUAACACUCACAGGUCACAUCGCCAUGUGACUAACACCCAAGAGUUUACUAGAAUCAGUAGUCUAGUUCACAUCACUAUGUGAUUAAUACUCAAUGAGUUUUAAGUUUGAUCAUGUUGCUUGUGAGAGAGGUUUUAGUCAACGGGUCUGAACCUUUCAGAUCCGUGUGUGUUUUACAAAUCUCUAUGUCAUCUCCUAGAUGCAGCUACCACGCUCUAUUUGGAGCUAUUCCAAAUAACUGUUCUACUUGGAGCUAUUCUAAAUUGUUGCUCCAUUAUAUGUAUCCGGUAUCUCUACUCAGAGCUAUCCGGAUAGGUGUCAAGCUUGCAUCGACGUAACCCUUUACGACGAACUCUUUUACCACCUCCAUAAUCGAGAAAAAUUCCUUAGUCCACUAAUUUCUAAGGAUAACUUUGACCGCUGUCCUGUGAGCCAUUCUUGGAUCACUCUUGUACCCCUUGACUGACUCAUGGCAAGGCACACUUCAGGUGCGGUACACAGCAUAGCAUACUGAAGAGCCUACAUCUCAAGCAUAGGGGACGACCUUCGUCCUUUCUCUCUAUUCUGCCGUGGUCGAGCUUUAAGUCUUAACUUCGUACCUUACAACUCAGGCAAGAACUCCUUCUUUGACUGGUCCAUCUUGAACACCUUCAAGAUCAUGUCAAGGUAUGUGCUCAUUUGAAAGUACCAUUAAGCGUUUUGAUCCAUCCUUAUAGAUCUUGAUGCUCAAUGCUCAAGCAGCUUAAUCCAGGCUUUCCAUUGAAAAACACUUUCAAAAUAACCCUAUAUGCUUUCCAGAAAUUCUACGUCAUUUCUGAUCAACAAUAUGUCAACAACAUAUACUCAUCAGAAAUUCUAUAGUGCUCCCACUCACUUCUUUGGAAAUACAAGUUUCUCAUAAACUUUGUACAAACCCAAAAUCUUUGAUCAUCAUCAAAGCAUACAUUCCAACUCCGAGAUGCUUACUCCAGUCCUUAGAAGGAUCGCUGGAGCUAGCAUACCUCUUAGCAUCCUCAGGAUUGACAAAAACUUUUCUGAUUGUAUUGCAUACAACCUUUCCUUACGAAAACUAGUAAGGAAACUUGUCUUGACAUCCAUCUGCCAGAUUUCAUAAAUGCAGCUAAUGCUAACAUGAUUCCGACGGACUUUAAGCAUCGCUACGAGUGAGAAAAUCUCAUCGUAGUCAACUCCUUGAACUUGUGAAAAACUUUUCGCCACAAGUCGAGCUUCAUGGACGGUGACAUUACCAUCCACGUCUGUCUUCUUCUUAAAGAUCCAUUUAUCUUAAUGGCUUGCCGAUCAUCGGGCAAGUCCGCCAAAGUCCAUGGAUCCAUUCUCAGAUUUUAUGGCCUUGAGCCAUUUAUCGGAAUCCGGGCCCACCAUUGCUUCUCCAUAGCUCGUAGGUUCAUUGUUGUCCAGCAACAUGACUUUCAAGACAGGAUUACGUACCACUCUGAAGUAGUACGCAUCCUUGUCAUUCCACGAGGUUUGGUAGUGACUUGAUCCGAAGUUUCAUGAUCAAUAUCAUAAGCUUCCACUUCAAUUGGUGUAGGUGCCACAGGAACAACUUCCUGUGCCCUGCCACACACUAGUUGAAGAGACGGUUCAAUAACCUCAUCAAGUCUCCACCAUCCUCCCACUCAACUCUUUCGAGAGAAACCUUUCCUCGAGAAAGGACCCGAUUCUAGAUACAAUUCAUAUUGCUUUCGGAUCUGAAUUAGGAGGUAUACCCAACUGUUUUGGGUGUCCUAUGAAGAUGUAUUUUAUCCGCUUUGGGUUCGAGCUUAUCAACCUGAAAUUUUUUCAUAUAAGCGUCGCAGCCCCAAACUUUUAAGAAACGACAACUUAGGUUUCUCUAAACCAUAAUUCAUACGGUGUCAUCUCAUCGGAAUUACGUGGUGCCCUAUUUAAAGUGAAUGUGGUUGUCUCUAAUGCCUAACCCAUGAACGAUAGUGGUAAUUCGAUAAGAGACAUCAUGGUACGCACCAUAUCCAAUAGGGUGUAACUAUGAUGUUCGGACACACCAUCACAUUAUGGUGUUCCAGGCGGUAUUAAUUGCGAAACAAUUUCCACAAUGUCUUAAUUGUGUGCCAAAACUCGUAACUCAGAUAUUCAUCUCUAUGAUCAUAUCAUAGACAUUAUAUCCUCUUGUCACAAUGAUCUUCUACUUCACUCUGAAAUUACUUGAACCAUUCAAUAAUUCAGACUUGUGUUUCAUCAAGUAAAUAUUCUCAACAUCUACUCGAAUCAUCUGUGAAGUAAGAACAUAACGAUAUUCACUGCAUGCCUCAGCAUUCAUUGGACUGUACACAUCAAAAUGUGUUACUUCCAACAAGUUGCUAUCUUGUUCCAUCUUACUGAAAACGAGGCUUUUCAGUCAUCUUGCCCAUGUGGUAUGAUUUGCAUAUCGAGUGAUUCAAAAUCAAGUGAGUCCAAAUGAUCCAUCUGCAUGGAGUUUCUUCAUGCAUAUACACCAAUAGACAUGGUUCGCAUGUCUCAAACUUUUCAAAAACGAGUGAGUCCAAAGAUCCAUCAACAUGGAGCUUCUUCAUGCGUUUUAUACCAUUAUGACUUACAUGGCAGUGCCACAAGUAAGUGGUACUAUCAUUACUAUCUUAUAUCUUUUGGCAUGAAAAUGUGUAUCCCUACGAUCAAGAUUCAAUAAACCAUUCCUUUAGGUGCAAGAGCACUUAUUCAGGUUUAAUACUAAUCUUGAUGGUAGAGGGAGCGUGCGAUGUUAGAUCACAUCAAACUUGGAAACACUUCCAACACAUAUCGUCAGCUCACCUUUAGCCAGUCUCCGUUUUAUUCCGUAGCUUUUAUUUCGAGUUACUAACACUUAGCAACCGAACCGGUGUCUAAUACCCUGGUGCUACUAGGAGUACUAGUAAAGUACACAUUAACAUAAUGUAUAUCCAAUAUACUUCUAUCGACCUUGCCAGCCUUCUCAUCUACCAAGUAUCUAGGGUAAUCCUGCUCCAGUGGUUGUUCCCCUUAUUACAGAAGCACUUAGUCUCGGGUUUGGGUUCAACCUCGGGUUUCUUCAUUGGUGCAGCAGCUGAUUUGCCGUUUCAUGAAGUAUCCCUUCUUUCCCUUGCCCUUCUUGAAACUAGUGGUUUCAUCAACCAUCAACAAUUGAUGCUCCUUCUUGAUUUCUACUUUCGCGGUGUCAAACAUCGCGAAUACUUCAAGGAUCAUCAUAUCUAUCCCUGAUAUGUUAUAGUUCAUCACGAAGCUCUAGCAGCUUCGUGGCAAUGACUUUGGGGAAACAUCACUAUCUCAUUUGGAAGAUCAACUCCCACUUGAUUCAAGUGAUUGUUGCACUCAGACAAUCUGAGCACAAGCUCAACGAUUGAGCUUUUCUCCCUUAGUUUGUAGGCUAAGAAAAUUGUCGGAGGUCUCAUACCUCUUGACGUGGGCACGAGCCUGAAAUCCUAAUUUCAGCCCUCGAAACAUCUCAUAUGUUCCGCGACGUUUCGAAAACGUCUUUGGUGCCUCUACUUAAACCAUUUAACUGAACUAUCACGUAGUUACCAAAAUGUGUAUGUUCGAUGUUCGAAACAUCCACAAACGACGUUUGGGGUUUAGCACACUAAGCGAUGCAUUAAGGACAUAAGCUAUCUACUGUCUGCAUAAUUGCUACUUUCAACUUUCAACUAUAUUUUCUCUAGGAACAUAUCUAAAACAGUAGAACUAUAGCGUGAGCUACGACAUAAUUUGCAAAAGGUCUUUUGACUAUGUUCAGGAUAAUUGAGUUCAUCUUAUGAACUCCCACUUAGAUAGACAUCCCUCUGGUCAUCUAAGUGAUCACAUGAUCCGAGUCAACUAGGCCGUGUCCGAUCAUCACGUGAGACGGACUAGUCAUCAUCGGUGAACAUCUUCAUGUUGAUCGUAUCUGCUAUACGACUCAUGCUCGACCUUUCGGUCUCCGUGUUCCGAGGCCAUGUCUGCACAUGCUAGGCUUGUCAAGUUAACCCUAAGUGUUUUCGCUGUGUAAAACUGUCUUACACCCGUUGUAUGUGAACGUAAGAAUCCAUCACACCCGAUCAUCACGUGGUGCUUAGAAGCGACGAACUGUAGCAACGGUGCACAGUUAGGGGAGAACACUUCUUGAAAUUUUGUAAGGGAUCAUCUUAUUUACUACCGUCGUCCUAAGUAAACAAGAUGCAUAAACAUAAUAAACAUCACAUGCAAUUAUAUAGUUGUGACAUGAUAUGGCCAAUAUCAUAUAGCUCCAUUGAUCUCCAUCUUCGGGGCUCCAUGAUCAUCUUGUCACCGGCAUGACACCAUGAUCUCCAUCAUCAUGAUCUCCAUCAUCGUGUCUUCAUGAAGUUGUCACGCCAACGACUACUUCUACUUCUAUGACUAACGCGUUUAGCAAUAAAGUAAAGUAGUUUACAUGGCGUUCUUCAAUGACACGCAGGUCAUACAAAAAAUAAAGACAACUCCUAUGGCUCCUGCCGGUUGUCAUACUCAUCGACAUGCAAGUCGUGAAUCCUAUUACAAGAACAUGAUCAAUCUCAUACAUCACAUAUCAUUCAUCACAUUCUUCUUGGCCAUAUCACAUCACAUAGCAUACCCUGCAAAAACAACUUAGACGUCCUCUAAUUGUUGUUUGCAUGUUUUACGUGGCUGCUAUGGGUUUCUAGCAAGAACGUUUCUUACCUACGCAAAACCACAACGUGAUAUGCCAAUUGCUACUUACCCUUCAUAAGGACCCUUUUCAUCGAAUCCGUUCCGACUAAAGUGGGAGAGACUGGCACCCGCUAGCCACCUUAUGCACCAAGUGCAUGUCAAUCGGUGGAACCUGUCUCACGUAAGAGUACGUGUAAGGUCGGUCCGGGCCGCUUCAUCCCACAAUACCGUCGAAACAAGAUUGGACUAGUAACGGUAAGCAUAUUGAACAAAAUCAAGGCCCACAACUAUUUUGUGUUCUACUCGUGCAAAGAAUCUAAGCAAUAGACCUAGCUCAUGAUGCCACUGUUGGGUAACGUAGCAGAAAUUCAAAAAAUUUCCUACGUAUCACCAAGAUCUAUCUAUGGAGAGACCAGCAACGAGUAGAAAGAGAGUGCAUCUACAUACCCUUGUAGAUCGCUAAGCGGAAGCGUUCAAGUGAACGGGGUUGAUGGAGUCGUACUCGUCGUGAUUUAGAUCACCGAUGAUCAAGUGCCGAACGGACGGCACCUCCGCGUUCAACACACGUACAGCCCGGUGACGUCUCCCACGCCUUGAUCCAGCAAGGAGAGAGGGAGAGGUUGAGGAAGACUCCAUCCAGCAGCAGCACAAUGGCGUGGUGGUGGUGGAGGAGCGUGGCAAUCCUGCAGGGCUUCGCCAAGCACCUACGGGAGAGGAGGAGGUGUCACGGGAGGGAGGGAGGCGCCAAGGGCUCAGGUAUGGAUGCCCUCCCUCCCCUCCACUAUAUAUAGGGGCAAGGGAGAGGGGGGAGGCGCAGCCUUGCCACCUACUCCAAGAAAGGGGUGCGGCCAAGAGGGGGGGAGGAGUCCAUCCUCCCCAAGGCACCUCGGAGGUGCCUUCCCCCUCGAGGACUCUUCCCUCUAGGGUUCCCUAGGCGCAUGGGCCUCUUGGGGCUGGUGCCCUUGGCCCAUGUAGGCCAAGGCGCACCCCCUACAGCCCAUGUGGCCCCCCGGGGCAGGUGGCCCCACCCGGUGGGCCCCCGGGACCCUUCCGGUGGUCCCGGUACAAUACCGAUGACCCCGAAACUUGUCCCGAUGGCCGAAACAGGACUUCCUAUAUAUAAAUCUUUACCUCCGGACCAUUCCGGAACUCCUCGUGACGUCCGGGAUCUCAUCCGGGACUCCGAACAACAUUCGGUUACCACAUACAAGCUUCCUUUAUAACCCUAGCGUCAUCGAACCUUAAGUGUGUAGACCCUACGGGUUCGGGAGACAUGCAGACAUGACCAAGACGUUCUCUGGUCAAUAACCAACAGCGGGAUCUGGAUACCCAUGUUGGCUCCCACAUGUUCCACGAUGAUCUCAUCGGAUGAACCACGAUGUCAAGGACUCAAUCAAUCCCGUAUUCAAUUCCCUUUGUCUAUCGGUAUGUUACUUGCCCGAGAUUCGAUCGUCGGUAUCCAAUACCUUGUUCAAUCUCGUUACCGGCAAGUCACUUUACUCGUUCCGUAACACAUCAUCCCGUGAUCAACUCCUUGGUCACAUUGCGCAUAUGAUGAUGUCCUACCGAGUGGGCCCAGAGAUACCUCUCCGUUUACACGGAGUGACAAAUCCCAAUCUUGAUCCGUAUAAAACAAUAGAUACUUUCGGAGAUACCUGUAGUGCACCUUUAUAGUCACCCAGUUACGUUGUGACGUUUGAUACACCCAAGGCACUCCUACGGUAUCCAGGAGUUACACGAUCUCAUGGUCAAAGGAAGAGAUACUUGACAUUUGCAAAGCUCUAGCAAAUGAACUACACGAUCUUUUGUUCUAGUCUUAGGAUUGGGUCUUGUCCAUCACAUCAUUCUCCUAAUGAUGUGAUCCCGUUAUCAACGACAUCCAAUGUCCAUAGCCAGGAAACCAUGACUAUCUGUUGAUCACAACGAGCUAGUCAACUAGAGGCUCACCAGGGACAUAUUGUGGUCUAUGUAUUCACACGUGUAUUACGAUUUCCGGAUAAUACAGUUAUAGCAUGAAUAAAAGACAAUUAUCAUGAACAAGGAAAUAUAAUAAUAAUACUUUUAUUAUUGCCUCUAGGGCAUAUUUCCAACAAUACUUUGGUUCGGCGGUAUUGUUGGAUGAAGCGGCCUAGACCGACAUUACGCGUACGCUUACGCGAGACCGGUUCUCCCGACGUGCUUUGCACAGAGGUGGCUUGUGGGUGACAGUUUCUCCAACUUUAGUUGAACCAAGUGUGGCUAUGCCCGGUCCUUGCGAAGGUUAAAACGGAGUCAAAUUGACAAACUAUCGUUGUGGUUUUGAUGCGUAGGUGAGAUUGGUUCUUAAUUAAGCCCGUAGCAGCCACGUAAAACUUGCAACAACAAAGUAGAGGACGUCUAACUUGUUUUUGCAGGGCAUGUUGUGAUGUGAUAUGGUCAAGACAUGAUGCUGAAUUUUAUUGUAUGAGAUGAUCAUGUUUUGUAACCGAGUUAUCAGCAACCGGCAGGAGCCAUAUGGUUGUCGCUUUAUUGUAUGCAAUGCAAUCGUGAUGUAAUGCUUUACUUUAUCACUAAACGGUAGCGAUAGUUGUAGAAGCACAAGCUUGGCGAGACGACAACGAUGCUACGAUGGAGAUCAAGGUGUCACGCCGGUGACGAUGGUGAUCACGACGGUGCUUCAGCAGAUGGAGAUCACAAGCACAAGAUGAUGAUGGCCAUAUCAUAUCACUUAUAUUGAUUGCAUGUGAUGUUUAUCUUUUAUGCAUCUUAUCUUGCUUUGAUUGACGGUAGCAUUAUAAGAUGAUCUCUCACUAAAAUAUCAAGAAGUGUUCUCCCUGAGUAUGCACCGUUGCGAAAGUUCUUCGUGCUGAGACACCACGUGAUGAUCGGGUGUGAUAGGUUCUACGUUCAAAUACAACGGAUGCAAAACAGUUGCACACGCGGAAUACUCAGGUUAUACUUGACGAGCCAAGCAUAUACAGAUAUGGCCUCGGAACACGGAGACCGAAAGGUCGAGCGUGAAUCAUAUAGUAGAUAUGAUCAACAUAAUGAUGUUCACCAAUGAAACUACUCCAUCUCACGUGAUGAUCGGACAUGGUUUAGUUGAUUUGGAUCACGUAAUCACUUAGAGGAUUAGAGGGAUGUCUAUCUAAGUGGGAGUUCUUUAAGUAAAUUAACUGAACUUAAAUUUAUCAUGAAACUUAGUACCUGAUUAGUAUCUUGCUUGUUUAUGUUUGAUUGUAGAUAGAUGGCUCGUGCUGUUGUUUCGUUGAAUUUUAAUGCGUUCCUUGAGAAAGCAAAGUUGAAAGAUGAUGGUAGCAAUUACACGGACUGGGUCCGUAACUUGAGGAUUAUCCUCAUUGCUGCACAGAAGAAUUACGUCCUGGAAGCACCGCUGGGUGCCAGGCCUGCUGCAGGAGCAACGCCGGAUGUUAUGAACGUCUGGCAGAGCAAAGCUGAUGACUACUCGAUAGUUCAGUGUGCCAUGCUUUACGGCUUAGAAUCGGGACUUCAACGACGUUUUGAACGUCAUGGAGCAUAUGAGAUGUUCUAGGAGUUGAAGUUAAUAUUUCAAGCAAAUGCCCGGAUUGAGAGAUAUGAAGUCUCCAAUAAGUUCUAUAGCUGCAAGAUGGAGGAGAACAGUUCUGUCAGUGAGCAUAUACUUAAAAUGUCUGUGUAUAAUAAUCACUUGAUUCAAUUGGAGUUAAUCUUCCAGAUGAUUGCGUCAUUGACAGAAUUCUCCAAUCACUGCCACCAAGCUACAAGAGCUUCGUGAUGAACUAUAAUAUGCGAGGGAUGAAUAUGACUAUCCCCGAGCUCUUCGCAAUGCUGAAAGCUGCGGAGGUAGAAAUCAAGAAGGAGCAUCAAGUGUUGAUGGUCAACAAGACCACUAGUUUCAAGAAAAAGGGCAAAGGGAAGAAGAAGGGGAACUUCAAAAGAACGGCAAGCAAGUUGCUACUCAAGAGAAGAAACCCAAACCUGGACCUAAGCCUGAAACUGAGUGCUUCUAUUGCAAGCAGACUGGUCACUGGAAGCGGAACUGCCCCAAGUAUUUGGCGGAUAAGAAGGAUGGCAAGGUGAACAAAGGUAUAUGUGAUAUACAUGUUAUCGAUGUGUACCUUACUAAUGCUCGCAGUAGCACCUGGGUAUUUGAUACUGGUUCUGUUGCUAAUAUUUGCAACUCGAAACAGGGACUACGGAUCAAGCAAAGAUUGGUUAAGGACGAGGUGACGAUGCGCGUGGGAAACAGUUCCAAAGUCGAUGUGAUCGCAGUCGGCACGCUACCUCUACAUCUACCUUCGGGAUUAGUAUUAGACCUAAAUAAUUGUUAUUUGGUGCCAGCGUUAAGCAUGAACAUUAUAUCUGGAUCUUGUUUGAUGCGAGACGGUUAUUCAUUUAAAUCAGAGAAUAAUGAUUGUUCUAUUUAUAUGAGUAAUAUCUUUUAUGGUCAUGCACCCUUGAAGAGUGGUCUAUUCUUGUUGAAUCUCGAUAGUAGUAACACACAUAUUCAUAAUGUUGAAGCCAAAAGAUGCAGAGUUGAUAAUGAGAGUGCAACUUAUUUGUGGCACUGCCGUUUAGGUCAUAUCGGUGUAAAGCGCAUGAAGAAACUCCAUACUGAUGGACUUUUGGAACCACUUGAUUAUGAAUCACUUGGUACUUGCGAACCGUGCCUCAUGGACAAGAUGACUAAAACGCCGUUCUCCGGUACUAUGGAGAGAGCAACAGAUUUGUUGGAAAUCAUACAUACAGAUGUAUGUGGUCCGAUGAAUAUUGAGGCUUGUGGUGGAUAUCGUUAUUUUCUCACCUUCAUAGAUGAUUUAAGCAGAUAUGGGUAUAUCUACUUAAUGAAACAUAAGUCUGAGACAUUUGAAAAGUUCAAAGAAUUUCAGAGUGAAGUUGAAAAUCAUCGUAACAAGAAAAUAAAGUUUCUACGAUCUGAUCGUGGAGGAGAAUAUUUGAGUUACGAGUUUGGUGUACAUUUUAAAAAUUGUGGAAUAGUUUCGCAACUCACGCCACCCGGAACACCUCAGCGUAAUGGUGUGUCCGAACGUCGUAAUCGUACUUUACUGGAUAUGGUGCGAUCUAUGAUGUCUCUUACUGAUUUACCGCUAUCGUUUUGGGGAUACGCUCUAGAGACAGACGCAUUCACGUUAAAUAGGGUACCAUCAAAAUUCGUUGAGACGACGCCUUAUGAACUGUGGUUUGGCAAGAAACCAAAGUUGUCGUUUCUGAAAGUUUGCGGCUGCGAUGCUUAUGUGAAAAAGCUUCGACCUGAUAAGCUCGAACCCAAAUCGGAGAAAUGUGUCUUCAUAGGAUAUCCAAAGGAAACUAUUGGAUACACCUUCUAUCACAGAUCCGAAGGCAAGACUUUUGUUGCUAAAUUCGGAAACUUUCUGGAGAAGGAGUUUCUCUCGAAAGAAGUGAGUGGGAGGAAAGUAGAACUUGACGAGGUAACUGUACCUGCUCCCUUAUUGGAAAGUAGUACAUCACAGAAAACUGUUUCUAUGACACCUACACCAGUUAGUGAGGAAGCUAAUGAUGAUGAUCAUGAAACUUCAGAACAAGAUACUACUGAACCUCGUAGAUCAACCAGAGUAAGAUCCGCACCAGAGUGGUACGGUAAUCCCGUUUUGGAAGUCAUGCUACUAGAUCAUGAUGAACCUACGAACUAUGAAGAAGCGAUGAUGAGCCCAGAUUCCGCAAAGUGGCUUGAAGCCAUGAAAUCUGAGAUGGGAUCCAUGUAUGAGAACAAAGUAUGGACUUUGGUUGACUUGCCCGAUGAUCGGCAAGCAAUUGAGAAUAAAUGGAUCUUCAAGAAGAAGACUGACGCUGGCGGUAAUAUUACUGUCUACAAAGCUCGACUUGUCGCAAAAGGUUUUCGGCAAGUUCAAGGGAUUGACUACGAUGAGACCUUCUCACCCGUAGCGAUGCUUAAGUCUGUCCGAAUCAUGUUAGCAAUUGCCGCAUUUUAUGAUUAUGAAAUUUGGCAGAUGGAUGUCAAAACUGCAUUCCUGAAUGGAUUUCUGGAAGAAGAGUUGUAUACGAUGCAACCAGAAGGUUUUGUCGAUCCAAAGGGAGCUAACAAAGUGUGCAAGCUCCAGCGAUCCAUUUAUGGACUGGUGCAAGCCUCUCGGAGUUGGAAUAAACGUUUUGAUAGUGUGAUCAAAGCAUUUGGUUUUAUACAGACUUUUUGAGAAGCCUGUAUUUACAAGAAAGUGAGUGGGAGCUCUGUAGCAUUUCUUAUAUUAUAUGUGGAUGACAUAUUACUAAUUGGAAAUGAUAUAGAACUUCUGGAUAGCAUAAAGGGAUACUUGAAUAAAAGUUUUUCUAUGAAAGACCUCGGUGAAGCUGCUUACAUAUUAGGCAUUAAGAUCUAUAGAGAUAGAUCACGACGCUUAAUUGGACUUUCACAAACCACAUACCUUGACAAAGUUUUGAAGAAGUUUAAAAUGGAUCAAGCAAAGAAAGGGUUCUUGCCUGUGUUACAAGGUGUGAAGUUGAGUAAGACGCAAUGCCCGACCACUACAGAAGAUAGAGAGAAUAUGAAAGAUGUUCCCUAUGCAUCAGCCUAGGAUCUAUCAUGUAUGCAAUGUUGUGUACCAGACCUGAUGUGUGCCUUGCUAUAAGUCUAGCAGGGAGGUACCAAAGUAAUCCAGGAGUGGAUCACUGGACAGCGGUCAAGAACAUCCUGAAAUACCUGAAAAGGACUAAGGAUAUGUUUCUCAUAUAUGGAGGUGACAAAGAGCUCAUCGUAAAAGGUUACGUUGAUGCAAGCUUUAACACUGAUCCGGACGAUUCUAAAUCGCAAACCGGACACGUGUUUACAUUAAACGGUGGAGCUGUCAGUUGGUGCAGUUCUAAACAAAGCGUUGUAGCGGGAUCUACAUGUGAAGCAGAGUACAUAGCUGCUUCGGAAGCAGCAAAUGAAGGAGUCUGGAUGAAGGAGUUCAUAUCCGAUCUAGGUGUCAUAUCUAGUGCAUCGGGUCCAAUGAAAAUCUUUUGUGACAAUACUGGUGCAAUUGCCUUGGCAAAGGAAUCCAGAUUUCACAAGAGAACCAAGCACAUCAAGAGACGCUUCAAUUCCAUCCGGGAUCUAGUCCAGGUGGGAGACAUAGAGAUUUGCAAGAUACAUACGGAUCUGAAUGUUGCAGACCCAUUGACUAAGCCUCUUCCACGAGCAAAACAUGAUCAGCACCAAGGCUCCAUGGGUGUUAGAAUCAUUACUGUGUAAUCUAGAUUAUCGACUCUAGUGCAAGUGGGAGACUGAAGGAAAUAUGCCCUAGAGGCAAUAAUAAAGUUAUUAUUUAUUUCCUUAUAAUCAUGAUAAAUGUUUAUUAUUCAUGCUAGAAUUGUAUUAACCGGAAACAUAAUACACGUGUGAAUACACAGACAAACAAAGUGUCACUAUUAUGCCUCUACUUGACUAGCUUGUUAAUCAAAGAUGGUUAUGUAACCAUGAACAAUGAGUUGUUAUUUGAUUAACGAGAUCACAUCAUUGAGAGAAUGAUCUGAUUGACAUGACCCAUUCCAUUAGCUUAGCACCUGAUCGUUUAGUAUGUUGCUAUUGCUUUCUUCAUGACUUAUACAUGUUCCUAUAACUAUGAGAUUAUGCAACUCCCGUUUACCGGAGGAACACUUUGGGUACUACCAAACGUCACAACGUAACUGGGUGAUUAUAAAGCAGUACUACAGGUGUCUCCAAAGGUACAUGUUGGGUUGGCGUAUUUUGAGAUUAGGUUUUGUCACUCCAAUUGUCGGAGAGGUAUCUCUGAGCCCUCUCGGUAAUGCACAUCACUUAAGCCUUGCAAGCAUUGCAACUAAAUGAGUUAGUUGCGGGAUGAUGUAUUACAGAACGAGUAAAGAGACUUGUCGGUAACGAGAUUGAACUAGGUAUUGGAAUACCGACGAUCGAAUCUUGGGCAAGUAACAUACCGAUGACAAAGGGAACAACGUAUGUUGUUAUGCGGUCUGACCGAUAAAGAUCUUCGUAGAAUAUGUAGGAGCCAAUAUGGGCAUCCAGGUCCCGCUAUUGAUUAUUGACCGGAGACAUGUCUAGGUCAUGUCUGCAUUGUUCUUGAACCCAUAGGGUCCGCACGCUUAAGGUUACGAUGACUGUUAUAUUAUGAGUUUAUGCAUUUUGAUGUACCGAAGGUUGUUCGGAGUCCCGGAUGUGAUCACGGACAUGACGAGGAGUCUCGAAAUGUUCGAGACAUAAAGAUUGAUAUAUUGGAAGCCUAUGUUUGGAUACCGGAAGUGUUCCGGGUGAAAUCGGGAUUUUACCGGAGUACCGGGAGGUUACCGGAACCCCCCCGGGAGCUAAAUGGGCCAUGAUGGGCCUUAGUGGAAAAUUGAAGAGGCAGCCCUACAUGGGCCGCGCGCCCCUCCCCUCCCUUGGUCCGAAUAGUACAAGGAGAGGGGGCCGGCCCCUCUCUCUCUCUUUUCCCCCCUCCGCGAAUCCUAUUCCAACUAGGAUUGGGGGGGGGGAAUCCUACUCCCAGAGGGAGUAGGACUCUCCUGGCGCGCCCUCCUUGGCCGGCCAGCCUCCCCCCUCUAGUCCUUUAUAUACGGAGGCAGGAGCACCCAGAGAGACACAAGUUGAUCCACGUGAUCUAUUCCUUAGCCGUGUGCGGCGCCCCCAGCCACCAUAGUCCUCGAUAAUAUUGUAGCGGUGCUUAGGCGAAGCCCUGCAGCUGUAGUACGUCAAGAUCGUCACCACGCCGUCGUGCUGACGGAACUCUUCCCCGACACUUUGCUGGAUCGGAGUCUGGGGAUCAUCAUCGAGCUGAACGUGUGCUAGAACUCGAAGGUGCCGUAGUUUCGGUGCUUGAUCGGUCGGAUCGUGAAGACGUACGACUACAUCAACCAAACGCUUCCGUUGUCGAUCUACUAGGUAUGUAGAUCAUACUCCCCCUCUCGUUGCUAUGCAUCACAUGAUCUUGCGUGUGCGUAGGAAUUUUUUUGAAAUUACUACGUUCCCCAACAGGUAGUUGUACAUCUCAUAGUGGAACUUGACAGAUCCGAGGACUCCGAGGGUCGUCGUGGCACUCGUUCACGUUGUAGCCGUACAUGUACUGUGGUCGAGGUCUUGGUGGACUUGCAGGUCUUGGCGAUUUCAAAGCGUUCAUCGGUAGUAGAACUUGGCGGUCUCGAUGGUCGUCGUGGUACUUGACGUAAUCCACGCAAACGGUGCUUAUCCAAGCAUCAAUCUUGACGAAGAUGUACUUGACGAGUUACCCGAACGCGUUAGUCCUCGGACUUGGGCUCCGGAGAUGGUGUCGUGAUGGUCCUGCAGCAACAGCCUCUGCAAGGGCGUUGGGGGAGGAGAUGGUCGCGACAGAGGACGAAACCAAGGAGCAGCAGUGCGAGGAGGGCCAUGGCGGGCGUCGUGGUUGAAGGCCCGAGGUGGUUGCGGCCAGAGCAGCGUCGAGUCAGGGUGCUGGACUCACCCGAGUCAACAUGGGCGCGUGUGUCUAAGAAUGCAGCAGGCAGCAGCGAGUGAAACAGGGCAGCAACGCGCGACAAAUGGGCGGCGACCAGCUGCAAGGUCCGCUGGGCUGACUCUCUCUCUCUCUCACUCUAAAGAACAAAAGAAAAAAACAAAACAGAGAUAUGAAAGAAAAGAAAGAGAGGUUAGGGGAAAAAGUUGGACAUAUGGAUAAUUUUCACGGACUCGUAAAAAUAUGCACGGUCCACGAAAAAUAGGGGAGGCAUGAUUGCAAGGAUUUAAUUCAAAGUCAUUUGAAUUUAAUUCAGAUGAUUUGAACAAGGGCUGGGAAAUAGAGGUGUCCAAAAAUGUUCGGAUUUUGGUGGAGCUCCGGAAAAUGAUGAAAGAAAAAUAUGACAAAGUUAGAGACCAAGAGUUGAGAAGGAAAAAGGCAUGGGAUAUUUGCAAGUGUGUUAUGGUUAAUUCCAAAUAAAUGGAACAAUUUUUAUCAUAGCUCCCUAAUAGUAUUGAGAGGCUUUAAUAUGUUAUAAAGAGAAAUCACAAUGAAUUCCCUCGAUUGAAAUGGAUCAAAGAUCCAUGCCAUUUAUUUAGAUGGGUUAAGAAAAGAAAUGACAUGAUGGCAUGCUGCAAUGCACAUGAUGCAAUGAUGAAUGCAAAGAACCAAACAAAUCACACGACGAAACCCGGAAACCCUGAAAGGCAUCUGAAGCUCCGGUCUUGGGGCGUCACAGGAUGAUAGCACAUAAGCUUCACCAUGAGAACACAUAUAGUAAGAGAGCCACCUACCUGUUUGCCUCUAAUGGAGAAGUGUCAUAAUGUGGCGGUGACAAAGGCCGAGCUAACGGGAAGCCGAUGAUGAGACAUCUCCUACAAAAAGCUGCCACUAGCCAAGACGGAUCAUGGUCAAGCAGCAUGGCAACGCUCGCCACUGCUCCUACAAACGGAGGGAGCCGUGCGUGUCGGUGACAAUGUCACGAUGGACGAUGGAUUGCCACCGACUCGAUCAAUCGUCGUAGUUCCCCACAACUACACUGACAUGUCCACCAUUGCCGGAUUUCGGGGGUCAUCACCCUAGUGUUUGAGCUCUGUUUUUCCAUCGCCCAUGGUUGUCACAUUGCCAUAGUGAGAGGCCCCCUCUCUGUGCGAGAAAAGAACCCCCUCCCCCUCCGCAACCCUCUCGACCAUCUAUUUAGUAGGCUUUACCCGGUAGCAUCAUCUGAUGACGGGGAGAGGAAUAUGGUGGGAGGAGACGAUAGUAGCGGCGGUGGCUAGGUUUCACCUUUCGUCCCAAAGCUUCCCUAAGAAUGACGCGAAUGAGUUGCAUUCACAAAUAAUAAUAUUUUCUUGUUGCGGAUGAGGUGAAUGAGUGAUGCGAAUCACACCCAAAAAAAAUUCCCUCGGCGGGCAAGGAUAGUGGUAUCUCAUGAUUAAAAAAAGGGAAAUAUAUUCAAAAUCACCAUGUGGAAUGUUCCUUUUUCUUUCAGGUAUAAUAAUGCUCCUUUUUUGCAGGAUAUAUAUAUAUAUAUAGAAUGCUCCUUGUACUACACCCAGAGGAGUGCAAAAUUUUACCAAAUAUUGCAUAUUUGAACUCGUUUGCAUGCAACUCAGGGAACAAUUUGGAAGCAUCCGUGUUCAUGAAGAAAAAAUGGCAGGUGUGUAUUUCCAUUUAGAAGUGAGUGAAAGCCCACCAUGAUUAUGAUAUUCAUAAUGUUGAAGUCAUGGUUAGUCACGUCGCUGCAAAGUUCUUCAGUUCCAGAAGGCUCAGACCGGUAGUAGUUAGCAUAUUAGCAAGAAGGAUAGCUUGCUAGAACUCUACACAGACGUCAUUGUACUUGUACCCCCAGACCAAAAUAAAGGACACUGGAGAUAUGAUGGGCCGGCUGGUUCAUCUUAAACGUCAUUUCGCAACACGUGUGCAUGUUGCUGAUCUAUGUUCCCUUCAGAAGUCAAUCUGGUGUUUGGGCUCUGUUUUUGCAUUGUCCAUGGUCGUCACAUUGCCAUAGUCGGAGGCCUCCUCUCCGCGCGAGAAAAGAACCCCCCUCCCCCUCUCAUCACUCCCGACUAUCUAUUUAAUUGAUAUGAUGGGAGGAGACGAUAGUAGCGGCGGUGGCUAGGUUUCAUCUGAUGUUGCAAGCUCCAUAAGAACGACGUGAACGACUUGCAUUCACAAAUAAUAAUGUUUUCUUGUGACGGAUGAUGCGAUUGAGUGAAAACUGACUACGAGCUUGUAUGGUGCAAAUCACAUAGAAGUUUUUUUUUUCUCGAGCGGGCAAGGAUGGUUGUACGCUCCUUUUUGUUUCACGCAUAUAGAAUACACCCUUUUUCGCGGGAUAUAUAGAAUGCUCCUUGUACUACACCCGAAGCAGUACAAAAUGUUACCAAAUAUUGCAUAUUUGAACUCCUUUGUCCGCAACUCGGGGAACAAAUUGGAAGCAUACGUGUUGAUGAAGGAGAAAUGGCAGGUACGUGUGCAUUUCCAUUUAGAAGCGAGUGAAAGCCACCAUGGGCUCUUAUGAUAUUCAUCAUAAUGUUGAAGUAAUGGUUAGUCACGUCGCUGCAAAAGUUCUCCAGUUCUAGAAGUCUCAAACGGGUAGUUAGCAUAUCAUCGUGGCAGGAAGGAUAGCUUGCCAGAACUCUGCACACACGUCAUUGUUCUCCCGGACAAAAACAAUGUGCACCGGAGAUACCACGAACUACGAAUAAAAGGCCAACUGCUUCAUCUCGAACGUCAUUUCGCAACGCGUGCGCAUGUUCCUGAUCCCCGUUCCCUUCAGAAUGUCGAUAAGCCAUAUGGCGUUGACUGCAGGGACAAAACACAUCGUUGGAUGCACAUGGUAACUACGUUUUGCCUUGCAUUUUUUUCUUUCUUUUUGGAAGAACAAGUGUUCCUCCAGUGGGCUGGCCUUGGUUAAUUUAGUCUGGCCUAGCCCAUCACUGACGUGCUGCACCACGUUUUUCCAUGCCCCCGUCCGUCUCGUCUGGCCGAGUCUCCGGCCAUUAGAAAUUGGCAGAGAAUAAAAUCGCUCUCGACAAUCCAGCCACUCGCCCAAUGAAAACCGAUUGCUUGCUCGUUCAACGGCAAAAAAGAGAGAAGAAAAGAGGCCAUGGUGGCUUCAUCCCCUCACCAAAUCCACAGCCCCCCGGCUCUGACUCAACCCCGUUCGCCCAUAAGUAAAGCCACCCUCUCUCUCUAGCCGGCUAGCCCGCGCUCUCCCCCUCUCCGCGGCACGCACCAUCACUCCAUCAGACGACCCACGUACCACGUACCAGGAGGCAAGAGGAAGGAGGGAGGGCCCAGCGAAGCGACCGAAGCUGCACGCGGGCGCCAUGUCACUCCCCGGCCGCCGCAAGUCGUCGCUGGCCGGCGCCGGCGGGGGUGCGGGCGCCGGGCCGUUCGACACGCUCGGCGCGAAGCACGGCGCGCCGCGCAAGGGCGGGCGGCUGCCAGUGUACGUGGCGGGCGUCUUCUUCGUCGUCUUCGUCAUCGUCAUGUACGGCGAGGACAUCCGGUCCGUCACCCUCGAGCCGUUUGCCCGCGGCGUCGGGCCCGUCAGGCAGCAGGCGGUCGUCGUCUCGGACGCCGGCCGCGCCGCCGCCACCCCGCGGCGGGACGUGCUCUCUUCUUCCUCCACGGGGAAGAAGACCGUCGCCCCCCGGCGCGACGUGAUCGCUUCUCCGGAGAGGCCCGUCCCCGUGGCGCUGCCGCGCGACGACGGAAGAGAGAGGCCGGGGCACGCCGCGGCGAAGACAGAGACGGCGCCCGAGCAGGCGAUCCGGAAGGUCACCGCCCCCAAGGUGAAGAAGCCGAAGAAAGCGAAGAGGCCGAGGCGGCUGCGGCCGGCGAGGAAGACGGUGGCGGCGGGGGCCGUGCUGGGGUCGCCGGAGACGUGCGACCUGUCCAAGGGCGAGUGGGUGUUCGACAACGCGAGCUACCCGCUGUACCGCGAGGAGGAGUGCUCGUUCCUGACGUCGCAGGUGACGUGCAUGAAGAACGGCCGCCGCGACGACAACUACCAGAAGUGGCGGUGGCAGCCCAAGGACUGCGACAUGCCCAGGUGCGUUUCCGCUCGUCGCUCGUUCCGGCGACGACUACCCGAUCACGCCGGCGAUCGCCAUGCAUGCCCGAAAUUGGGUUGGACGCGCAUGCAUGCUCAGGCGGCGAGCUUGUUGAAACUGCAGGUUCGACGCGAAGGUUUUCAUGGAGAGGCUCCGGAACAAGCGGUUCAUGUUCGUGGGGGACUCGCUGAACCGGAACCAGUGGGAGUCGAUGGUGUGCCUGGUGCAGUCGGCCGUGUCGCCGGACAAGAAGUACGUCACCUGGGAGGACCAGCGGGUCGUCUUCCACGCCUGGGUGAGUAGCACAAAACAAUGGCCGUCCCGGCAGCAUCUCUCUCUCUCUCUCUCUCUCUCUCGACCGGCCGGUUCGUGCCCCCUACGAUGGAGAAGGAACCUUAGCCAGCCAGUUGGCCAACCAGCAGGGCCCACGGCUGCCGCAACGGUUUUUCAAAUGUGACGUCGUACGUAGUAGUACCUGUACCGUAGCCGUAGGUGGCGGCUUAGCAAGCGCACCAACUACUUGUACUACGACGACGUACGUAUUCCAUCGGUAUAGGGUGUCUUCUUGCGCCUUCUUGUGAUCAUGUCAAAUAACGUCCAUUUCUUAUCGACAACAGGAGUUCAACGCGACGGUGGAGUUCUACUGGUCGCCGUUCCUGGUGGAGUCCAACUCGGACAACCCCAAGAUCCACAGCAUCCCGACCCGGAUCAUCGACGCGGGGGCCAUCGCGGCGCACGCCCAGAACUGGCGCAACGCCGACUACCUCGUCUUCAACACCUACAUCUGGUGGAUGAACACCCUCAACAUGAAACUCAAGUACGUCUACGUGCACAACACAACACGAUCGAGAACAUGCCGUGCCGUCUCGUGCGUCGAUCGCCGGGGCAUGCACGGUCGAAGUGGUGGUAAAACUGCAUGCGCUGCGGUGACACUGAUGGACUGACAUGGAGGUUGGCUGAUGGAUGGAUUGGCAGGAGGCCGGGCGGGCGGGACUGGGAGGACCAUGAGGAGGUGGUGAGGAUCGAGGCGUACCGGAAGGUUCUCAGCACCUGGGCCGGCUGGGUGAACGACAACAUCGACCCGGCGCGCACGUCCGUCUUCUUCAUGAGCAUGUCCCCUCUUCACCUCAGGUACCGUACCCUACCCUGCCUACCCCCGUAGUAGUUUUCUAUUCUGUUCCACUGUAGAUAAGUCGUUUUUGUUCUUCUGGUGGUAGUCAGUACGCACACCUACGCGCACCUGCACCGUAGUUCCUAGGAAACGCCGAAAUCUCGACACGCGCGCAUGGCGGCGACGGCCAAAAAGACGAGGCCGGCAGCGCGUGGUGCGUACCGGGUGUCUGCACCGGUGCACGCGUCGGGCCGCGGCCGGGAAGUGCAGACGCGCACGGGCUGGUGGUCUAGUGCGGUUUCCGGGGCCGGACGGCGCGCGCGCGCGCGGGAUUGGAAGUUGGAACGAGUCGGGCGGGCGCGUCGCGUCGAGCGGGUCGGUCGCCGUCUUGGGAGAAAAUGGAAGCGACAGACAGUCGUGGCAGACCCGGUCCGGCGGCGUGCUCGCUUGAAUAUUCCCAGGCGACGUGGAAGUACCAGCAGGUUUUUAUUUUUAGUUGCAAAAAAAGUAGGCUUCUGUUUUUUUGGGGUGAUGGCGCGGUAUAUAUCCCGUCGACGGAGCAGCCGGCCGGGUCGUGCAGCAUUCUCUAGGUGCGGUGCGACUAGCAGAGCAUGUACGUACUGGAUGGAAUGGAACACAUGGCCUCACGUUGCCCACCCGCUCGUUGACCCUCUCUGUACGCAUGUGGAUGUGGUAGCAUACUCUUGUACUAGUAGUUGGUGUAACGGAUACCGUUGUACGUGUAGUUUAGUGAGCCAGUUAGGAUAUACGUACUUUUUUUUUGAACAUGUUAGGAUAUACGUACUGCGCCAUUAGUUUACACAUGCAUGGUUUGAUAUUCCAAACAGCGUGGUGCUAUAUGCUAAUGCUAGUAGAAUAAAGUAAGCACAGGGUACAUGCACUAACCGUCUAAUCUACAGUCACAAGGAAUGCCACCCCACCAGUAAGGUGCAUGCAUAAUGCCACUGCCACCGGAGUUUUCAAAUAGUCCCUACUCCAUUGGGAUCGCCAACGGAGUAUACUAGUACUAGAGUACUCCCUCUGUUUUUAUUUAGUCUGCAUAUUAGGUUUGAUUGAAGUCAAACUUUGCAAAGUUUGACCAAGUUUAUAGAAAAAUAUAUAAACAUUUGCCAUAACAAAUAUAUAUGAUGUGAAAGUACAUUCAAUAAUGGAUCUACUGGUAUUGAUUUUUUAUUGUAUAUAUUAAUAUUUUUGUUUAUAAACUUAGUCAAAACUUACAAAGUUUGACUUUGACCAAAGCUAAUAUGCGGACUAAAUAAAAACAGAAGGAGUACUACGUAUACGUAGUACUUCUGUAAACCACGGUAGCUCGGUAUGCAUGUCGUGACCAGCACUGCAGGGAGCAGUACAAUAUGCGCAAAUCGUGUACGUACACGUCUUUUUAGAUGCCACUUGGGGUGGAAUCUACGCGGUCAAAACGAUCGACGUGCGUCACAACUCGCAGCACACAAGCGGACUUGGUAAACUCCUUUACAAAAGUCCAAGGAGAAGAUGCUCCUCCAAUGGAGCGGGGUAGUUGCUCCCCUCUCGUUGUCGCCCAAGCAGCACUCUCAGAAAUUAAUAAUGGAGAACUACGUACUCGAUAGGACCCUAGGAAGGAUACAUUAUACAUACAUGUACAUGCAUGGGUAUGACCAUGUAGUAUAAUUCUGCGUACCUGUCAAUCACAUGGACCCUCGGCCUCGGCUCAAAUCAUUCCGCGCACAUGAAUCUUAGACGGAAGCUUCCGUCGUCGCGAACGAGUCCCGGCCCCGUACAUGGUGCACCAAUCAUGCAUUCCAUGCGCCAGCGACGUACUACUGGUCUCGUGUGCUCGUAACCGGCCGUGUUGGUGCUUCGUGGGACGUGGAAUAGUCUUGGACGCCCCUGCCAAUGAUCGUUCCGAGCAGGUUCCGAGUGAUCGUCCCGUGACCGCGAGUUUCGGAUCUUGGAACGGACGACGCAUUUUUUAGGACAAGUAGCCGGAUGCGGGUAGUUCCAGCAGCGUUUUGGGGUUUUCCUUCUGCGUGGUAAUCCAAUUAUUCCUGGCUAUAAGGAUCAAACAGACGGUUGUGUUGUGUUGUGUUGGUUACCUAGCGACUACCGGAGUGGCUUGAUAAGGACGUGCGGUGGACAUGGCCCUGGGAUGACGCCUCACGAAAGCUCCCCUAAACCUUUUAGAAAAGCAGCGUGACCCCAUCCUGAGAUUGAUGGAUACUCCUAUAUGUUUAGUUCCCGUGAAGCAAACCACUUUGAUUUGCCUUGGUGUUUUUAUAUAGUCAGCGAUCCUAUUUAGUAGUGGUAGUGUGUGAGAAGAUAUGGUGCAACCGGAGAAACUGCCAUGGCGACCGGUGAAUGCAUGAGCAAACCAAUCAGCUUCAGAGGCUACUAGCUAUGCCACGUUAUUUUGCGUGUUCAGCAAUCCCGAAGUUGUUAAGUAUUUUCAAUCGGGAUUGCGUCCACGAUCGAGCGAGUUGAUGAAGUCUCUGGCUAGCUUAGAGUUGGAGGCAUGUCGCAUCAAAAGACGUACACAGCUAAAGUUGGUCAACAACACUAUUUUACGUGAAGAUAGAAUCACAGAACUGGAUUAGAGUAGUUGGGUUGCGUGAUCGACUCAUGCUGCGAAUCCGCUAGAGCUAGCGUGCUCCACAGAAGAAGAGUAAUAGUAUCAAGUUCUAGUACUAUGAUUAUUAACUGGUUCUAUAACUCUGUUGGAAAUUGACUGGGGCUUUUUUUGGGUGUGAAAAACAGCCCGCAGGUGUGGGGAAACCCUAACGGGAUCCGGUGCGCGAAGGAGACGAUGCCGCUGGUGAACUGGCGCGGGCCGAUAUGGCUGGGCACGGACUGGGACAUGUUCAAGGUGGCGUCCAACAUCACCCGGGCGGCGGCGCCGCGGGUGCCCAUCACCUUCGUGGACAUCACCACCAUGUCGGAGCGGCGCAAGGACGGGCACACCUCCGUGCACACCAUCCGGCAGGGCCAGAUCCUCACGCCGGAGCAGCAGGCCGACCCCGGCACCUACGCCGACUGCAUCCACUGGUGCCUCCCCGGCGUGCCCGACAUCUGGAACAGCUUGCUCUACACCAGGAUCAUGUCCAGGCCGGACGCCGCCACGGCUGCUCUCACGGCCAGAUAGAUAGAUACAUGUUGGGAAUUUCUGUCGAUUCGAAAAGUUCUUUCUUCUUCUUCUUCUUCUUCUUUUUUCUUUACAUUCUUUCUGGCCUGUUUAGUUUUUACGUGUCAAAUACGCCAGCUUUGUUUUCUUUCUUCUUUCGUUGGGGGUAGGUUAAGUAAGUGGAAAGAGAUUAAUUAUAUAAGGUGAUACAUGGCUCGUGGCCUGCCACGUGCGUGCACAUAUGCGCUGUAAGGGGGAGGUUCCUGCUCAAACUGUAAAUUCUGAAGUCAAAGAGAUGAACAGAACAGAUGGUUUAUAGAGAAAUGGGCAGUUGCGUCCGUGCCUCCAGCUGCACUGCACAGCCGUCUUGCGGCGCCUCGAUCUGUCCGCGAGCUCGUUUCUUUGGCAAGAUCGACGUCGCCAGCUCUCCGGCUUAUUCUCUUCUUUUCUAGGGCAGAAGAUCAAAAAGGGAAGGGAGCAGGAAGCGCCUUUUGGCGAUCAUUCCAUGGAUGAUUUACCUGAAAAAGGCGGGCAGCAACAAAAACAAUGGGCGCCACUUGGCUGAACUUGACAGAGCUAGUAGUUAACUGACUGACGACAGUGUGCAUGCAGGUCCGGAAAUGUCCGGGCUGCCUUUCGCCUUCUUUCUGGCAGCAAAGCUCCCGUAUCUCUUUGGCCCGGAUCGGGCGUUGCGACAGGUACCGAACGUGAAUCGUGGCACCAACUUGUGGUACUUUUUUUUUUAGCAUCAGUACAGACACAAACGCUUAUAUACACGCGCAUACAUUCACUCCUAUGAACGCAUACACGCACACCCUAUCCCUAUGAGCACAUCCGAGAGAUUGAGCCGGCAUAUCAUCUUGAGAUUUACGAAGUCACGUAGACGCCUCAUCGUCGACGGGAACGCCUCCUCCCACUGAAAGCGCAUCGUUGGAAAUCCUGAAAUAAAUCCAGGAAUAAUGCGAGCACCAGGAAAAUCCAGGAAUAAUGCGAGCACCAGGAUUUGAACCCUGGUGGGUUGAGGAUGCCACUGUCCACCUAACCAACUCAACCACAGGUUGAUUCGCACCAACUUGUGGUACUACAACGUAGAGAACGGAGCAGCGACGUCUCUGGCAAGUGGCUGGCGCAGGGGUAGCCCUGGUGCCUGCUAUAUGAGAGGCGUUGGUUUUUUUUAAAACAUGGAAAAAGAUUGGAAAUGAAACCGAAUUCGUAUUCAUGUCCACUACAGUUUCAUGGCUGAAUUGGAAAUGAAACCAAUUCAAUACGGAGGCCUUCAAUACAGACAUCUAAACACAGCGUAAAGGAAGAGGUUGCAAGCAAGCAAAUGGAGCUCCUCCCUAAGGUUGUGAUGAUCCAAUCCAUUAACUGUUCUUCUUUAACUUGCGUUUCCACCAUCUUUGAUAAGAUUGUUCUAGUCCCUAUCGGUGGCGGAGCUACAUGGAUUCUGCUGGAGGGGCCAAAAGCUAAAAAAGUUUUCAUNNNNNNNNNNNNNNNNNNNNNNNNNNNNNNNNNNNNNNNNNNNNNNNNNNNNNNNNNNNNNNNNNNNNNNNNNNNNNNNNNNNNNNNNNNNNNNNNNNNNNNNNNNNNNNNNNNNNNNNNNNNNNNNNNNNNNNNNNNNNNNNNNNNNNNNNNNNNNNNNNNNNNNNNNNNNNNNNNNNNNNNNNNNNNNNNNNNNNNNNNNNNNNNNNNNNNNNNNNNNNNNNNNNNNNNNNNNNNNNNNNNNNNNNNNNNNNNNNNACAGCCACCCCAGCACAACACAUAGCUCCGCCGUUGGUCCCUAUCUCUUGGCCCCCAAAUUUUAUUGUGUCCAUCCAACAUACUGUAACCUUGAUAUAUGAGAACCUAUAGUGCUACAGAGAGAGGAACUUAUUGUAUCCCAUAUUUAAUUAUAGUGGAACAAUAAUUGUGUGGUGGCUUCGACCCAUGGUUUUUACCCCUAACUUGGGGUUUUCUGUUUAAAUACGAAUGUUCAUCUCUGCCGACUUAUGUACUUUUUGUUUGGUUUCGCGUGGCAAGAAACACUUUGAAUAUGUAUGUUUGAUUUGGAGUGUUGGAGAAACUGAAAAAUGUAUUAAGUUUCGGGUAACCAAACUUAGUUUUUAGAUACAGGCACAUAUGUUCCCUUCCGUAACUGAGCAACGAUAUGUGGAUUACUUUAUUUUUUGCUUUAUCAACAAGACACAACAAGAAAAUUACGGGGUAGCACGAAUACGCAGUUUGCUCUAUCCAAGGUAGCCAGAAUCAUGAUUCCGUAUUGGAAUGGAGCUCUAGUAGUAGGAUCACAAAUCGCAGAAUCGUAACUAUAGGAAUGAUAGGAACGUGGAUACCAAAAUCGUAGAAUUGCAGAAGUAGUUUGGAUCGUACAGUUGUAGAAUCGUGUAAUAGAAUCACGAUUCUUACUACCUUAGCUUUAUUGACCGAAAGAAUCAGGCUUCACACCUGUUAAAAAAUCAGGCUUAUUAUGAUGUAAUGAGUCAUGCUAGUCCGAUUGGGAAAUUGAUGUAAUGAGGUCACCGGUCGUUCUUGUUUCAAUCUUGUGGCGGACAAUGUUACUUUUCUAGAAAUGAACACAUGAUGGUGCAUCCAAUUAUGCGUGCAAAUCUUAAAACAGUGACAAUUAGCAAUUUUCGUGGGGCACAUUGUCCGCUCCCAGACACUUUCCCAGGGGACGACACAAUAGUUUGCUCACAUACACCUUCCCGAUGGUACAACCACUAUGUAGCAUAACACCCCCUCGAUGUAGGCAAACACUUGAGGAAUUAUGUAGGGUACCUACUCUGCGUAGCAUGAAAAUCUCAUGUUUUAGUAUGAUCAUUCCUGAACAUGUGGGCAACUCCCCCCUUUUUUAUUAGCCUUACAACUAUGUCUGUUGAAGCAUGGCAAAUUCCAAGAAUGCAUCACAAUUCUCAGGUUCUGAGCACUAAUAAGGUAAAAGCGGAAACAACCAUGAGUGUGCUCUAAGCCAUUAGAUAGGAUAACACUAGAUCAAAUACAUAACUACAUAUUACAUGUCAAAUAAUAAGUCAAUGACAAAUAAUAUAGGACAACACUACAACACAUGUCCCAUUGAACCGGGGACGGAGUGUGAUGUGCCUGAGGCUACUAAAGGGGAGGCCUGUUUUAAGGUUUCUUGCCACAGGGGUCCGGCCCUAUUAAUCGCUAGAUUCCUGAUUAAUCGUUUGUUAGAGCGAUAAAUCAACCCAAAUGAUAAAUAUCAAAGAUAAGGUAAAAUACUAGCGAUCACCUACCAAUAAGCGAUAAAUUGGUGAAUCAUAUGUUAAUUUGAACAUUGCUGGAAACUAAAAAACUAAUAUGAGUAUGCAUUCGCAGGUUCACACAGAUAGAUAAAUAGGAAUAUUUUGUGUGUGGAGAUACAUAACUUUCUUUAGUGGUAGGGAUAUAUCUCUACUCUCUAGUACUUAAGAAAGAUGUAAGGUCCCUUUUCUGUGAGGCAGAAGACUUCAUCUAACCUUAUAUAUGCCCCCCUUUCUCUCCCUACUUUUUAUUUUUAGUCCCUAUCUUUGAAAAUCAUCUUAAAUGUCCCAUCUUUUAUCGGCUUACAAAUAAAAUUAUGCUUUCUUUGGUAAGCCAAUAAAUUCUCACCAAAUGAGUAAUUAUCAAAUAAAAAAAUUAGGUACGUAAAUCCCGGGCAUAAUUUAAUGAAUAUUUAUUUACACAAUCACAUUAAUAUGGAUAGGUAAUCAUCAUACGUGAUAGAAUAUUUAUAUCUCGUUUCAAAGCAUGGUAAUUAUCUAGUCAUAUACGUAGUAUAUAGGUUAACAAAGUUUUAAAGGUGGAACAAGAAUUCCGGAGGAACAAGUAUUUUUGGAAGUCAAUUUUUGGCAUGGUGUUCCUAGCGGGCCUUAGCCCCCUUUCAAUUGCUGCUUCUUAUCACAAUUUUACUAGCGGGCUAAGGCCCAAUUUGAGUGGUUCUCCUGGGCCUCAAAAAGAAUCCAAGUUAUAUUUCUGGCAUGGUGUUCCUUUUUAUUCUGAAAACAAAAAUUUAUUUGCGACCUCAACCUUCUACCUCUCUUUCGCAGACCUCUCUUUGAACAAACAAUUGACCACACUCGAUGAAGUUGCAAAUUUGUUUCCCAAUUAUUUUCCAUGCUCAUCUAGAAUUUUCUUCUAAGUUUUUUCCUACUCUGAUUUGUAUUUAUAUUAUGGUCUUCUAGUUUUUCUCAUUUUUAUAUUUCCUUUUUAUCUUUUGUUUUUCCUAUUAAAAAUUACAAAAACUUUUUUAAAAAAUUUUCCAGAACAUUUAGCAACUUACAUAUUUUUAAAAUCCUUGAACAAUUUGUAAAUAACACUAACCUUUUAGAAAAAUAUAAACAUCUUAAAUAUAUACAUGAAUAAUUUUUAAAAUUAUCCAAAAACUUUCGAAAAUAAAUAAAUAUUUUUGAAACAUUCAUGUAAUUUUAAAAUAUUUCAACACUUACUAAGCCAACACAAACAUAUUUUUUAAAUGCAUGGUACUUUUCAAAAUUAUAAAUGCACAAAAGGUUUUCAAAAGUGUACAAAUAUUUACACAAAAAACUUUCAAAAAUUGAACGGUCAUUUUUCUAAUGUUUUUUUUCUUCAAACACGAAAGUAUUUUACUUCUUUUCAUUUUUAAACUAUUGUUUUCCUUUGUGUUUUUUAAAAUAUACGAAAUGAAACUCCAUUGGGCCGCAUGGAUCCCUACCCAUACUUUGUACCACUUACGCGAAUUUUCUUUUUAGUAUUGUAUGUUUUUCUCCAUCUGCUUUUAAUUUUUGGUUUACUAUUUUUUACUUCAUAUUUUUUCAUUUAUUUUAUUUUUGAAAUACAUGUGAGACUUUUAUUAAUAUGCAUUCAGUUUUUUUGUACAUGUAAUUUUUCAGAUACAUGUUAAUGUUUUUCAAAUACACGUUGAACAAUUAUUUGAAUACAUGUUGAACAUUUGUGAAAUGUACAUUGAACAUAUUUCGUGGACACAGUGAACAUUUUUAUCUUCAUUUUUUUGUAAAAUGAUAGUGCAACUUAUUUGUGGCACUGCCGUUUAGGUCAUAUUGGUGUAAAGCGCAUGAAGAAACUCCAUGCUGAUGGGCUUUUGGAAUCACUUGAUGCUUGCGAACCAUGCCUCAUGGGCAAGAUGACUAAGACUCCGUUCUCCGGAACAAUGGAGCGAGCAACUGACUUAUUGAAAAUAAUACAUACUGAUGUAUGCGAUCCGAUGAGUGUUAAGGCUCACGGCAGGUAUCGUUAUUUUCUGACCUUCACAGAUGAUUUAAGUAGAUAUGGGUAUAUCUACUUGAUGAAACAUAAGUCUGAAACAUUUGAACAGUUCAAAGAAUUUCAGAGUGAAGUGAAAAAUCAUCGUGACAAGAAGAUAAGGUUUCCACGAUCUGAUCACGCAGACAAAUAUUUGAGUUACGAGUUUGGUCUACAAUUAAAACAAUGUGGAAUAGUUUCACAAAUUCGUACCACCUGGAACACCACAACAUAAUGGUGUGUCCAAACGUCAUAACCGUACUUUAUUGGAUAUAGUACAAUCUAUGAUGUUUCUUACCGAUUUACCACUAUCGUUUUGGGGUCAUGCAUUAGAGACAGCUGCAUUCACGUUAAAUAGGGCACCAUCAAAAUCCGUUGAGACGACACCGUAUUAACUGUAUUUUGGCAAGAAACCAAUGUUGUCGUUACUUAAAGUUUGGGGUUGCGAUGCUUAUAUGAAAAAGUUUCAUCCAGAUAAGCUCAAACCCAAAUUGGAGAAGUGCGUCUUCAUAGGAUACCCAAAAAGAAAAUGUUGGGUACACCUUCUAUCACAGAUCUGAAGGCAAGAUAUUUUCAGAGUGGGAGGAAAGUAGAAAACUUGAUAAGGUAAUUGUACCUUCUCCCUUAUUGGAAAGUAGUUCAUCACAGAAAUCUGUUCUUGUGACUACUACACCAAUUAGUGAGGAAGCUAAUGAUGAUGAUCAUGUAACUUCAGAUCAAGUUACUACCGAAUCUCGUAGGUAAACCAGAGUGAGAUCCGCACCUGAGUGGUACGGUAAUCCUGUUCUGGAAGUCAUGUUACUAGACCAUGACGAACUUGCGAACUACGAGGAAGCGAUGAUGAGCCCAGAUUCCGCGAAAUGGUUUGAGGCCAUGAAAUCUGAGAUAUGAUCCAUGUAUGAGAACAAAGUAUGGACUUUGAUGGAUUUGCCCGAUGAUUGGCAAGCCAUAGAAAAUAAAUGGAUCUUCAAGAGGAAGACGGACACUGAUAGUAGUGUUACUAUCUACAAAGCUAGAAUUGUCGCAAAAGGUUUUCGACAAGUUCAAGGUGUUGACUACGAUGAGAGUUUCUCACUCGUAUCUAUGCUUAAGUCUGUCCGAAUCAUAUUAACAAUUGCCGCAUUUUAUAAAAUCUGGCAAAUGGAUAAAAAAACUGCAAUCUUUAAUGGAUUUCUUAAAGAAGAGUUGUAUAUGAUGCAACCAGAAGGUUUUGUCAAUCCUAAAGGUGUUAACAAAAUAUGCAAGCUCCAGCGAUCCAUCUAUGGACUGGUGCAAGCAUCUCGGAGUUGGAAUAUACGCUUUGAUAAGUUGAUCAAAGCAUAUAGUUUUAUACAGACUUGCGGUGAAGCCUGUAUUUACAAGAAAGUGAGUGGGAGCACUACAGCAUUUCUGAUAAGUAUAUGUAAAUGACAUAUUAUUGAUCGAAAAUAAUGUAGAAUUAUUCUGCAAAGCAUAAAGGAGUAUUUGAAAGGAGUUUUUCCGAAGAAGGACCUCGGUGAAGCUGCUUACAUAUUGAGCAUCAAGAUCUAUAGAGAUAGAUCAAGAUGCUUGAUAAGUUUUUUCAAUGAGUACAUACCUUGACAAGAUUUUGAAGUAAGUUCAAAAUGAAACAGUCAAAGAAAGAGUUCUUGACUGUGUUAUAAGGUGUGAAAUUGAGUAAGACUCAAAGCCCGUAGGGUCCGCACGCUUAAGGUUUCGAUGACAGUUAUAUUAUGAGUUUAUGAGUUUUGAUGUACCGAAGUUAGUUCGGAGUCCCGGAUGUGAUCAGGGACAUAACGAGGAGUCUCAAAAUGGUCGAUACAUAAAGAUUGAUAUAUUGGACGGCUAUAUUCGGACACCGGAAGUGUUCCGGGUGAUUUCGGAGAAAACCGGAGUACCGGAGGGUUACCGGAACCCCCCCGGGAGAAGUAAUGGGCCAUAUGGGCGUUAGUGGAGAGCGAGAAGGGCAGCCAGGGUGGGCCGCGCGCCUCCUCCCCUGGUCUGAAUUGGACUAGGAGAUGGGGGGGGGGGGCGCCCCCCUUUCCUUCUCCCUCCCCACUUCCUUCCCCCUCCUAGUAGGAGUCCUACUCCUACUAGGAGGAGGACUCCUCCUUGGCGCGCCUAUAGGGCUGGCCGGCCUCCUCCCCUUGCUCCUUUAUAUACGGGGGCAGGGGGCACCCCUAGACACACAAGUUGAUCCACGUGAUCGUUUUCUUAGCCGUGUGCGGUGCCCGCUUCCACCAUAAUCGUCGAUAAUAUUGUAGCGGUGCUUAGGCGAAGCCCUGCGGCGGUAGAACAUCAAGAUCGUCACCACGCCGUCGUGCUGAUGGAACUCUUCCCCGACACUUUGCUGGAUCGGAGUCCGGGGAUCGUCAUUGAGCUGAACGUGUGCUAAAACUUAGAGGUGCCGUAGUUUCGGUGCUUGAUCGGUCGGGCCGUGAAGACGUACGACUACAUCAACCGCGUUGUGCUAACACUUCCGCUGUCGGUCUAUAAGGGUACGUAGAUCACACUCUCCCCUCUCGUUGCUAUGCAUCACCAUGAUCUUGCGUGUGCGUAGGAAUUUUUUUGAAAUUACUACGUUACCCAACACAAUUGACCGGGUUAAAGAUUAACUUUCAUAAGAGCGAGUUGUUCUGCUUUGUUAGAGCCAAAGAAGAACAGGAGGCUUAUAGGCAAUUGUUUGGGUGCGAGUUGGGGGAUUUACCUUUCUCUUACCUAGGUAUACCAAUCCACCAUCACAAGCUGACAAACAGAGAAUGGAAGUGCAUCGAAGACCGGUUCAAGAAGAAACUGAGUUGCUGGAAGGGCAAGCUCAUGUCAUACGGAGGCCGAUUAAUUCUGAUAAAUCCCGUGAUCACGAGUAUGCUUAUGUUUCUCUUAUCGUUCUUUAAAGUCCCAGUUGGUGUCAGGAAAAGACUGGACUUCUAUCGAUCGCGUUUCCUCUGGCAGGGUGAUGAACUCAAAAGAAAAUACCAGCUAGCUAAAUGGGAUAUCAUCUGUAGACCGAAAGACCAAGGGGGUCUUGGUAUUGAGAAUCUUGAAGUUAAGAACAGAUGCCUUCUCAGUAAGUGGCUGUGGAAGCUGUCAUCAGAGACUGAUGCCACGUGGCCGCAAAUCCUUCAUAGCAAGUACCUACAGACAAAAACUUUGUCCCAGGUUGCAGUCAGGCCGACCGACUCGCCUUUCUGGAAAGGACUGAUGAAAGUCAAACAAUCCCUGUUUAACAGGACAAAGUUUAUUGUUGGCAACGGUGCUAGUACGCGUUUCUGGGAGGAUACAUGGCUCGGAGAGACACCCUUGGCCAUUCAAUAUCCGUCUUUAUAUCGUAUUGUUCAACGGCGUGAGGUGUUCGUUGCAACGGUAUUUCAAUCUACCCCCCUUAAUAUUCAGUUCAGACGGUCACUAGCGGGCAAUCGUUGGGAAGAAUGGCUCCGUCUAGUUAGGAGAAUGAUGGAGGUUCAGCUUUCUCAACAACCCGAUGAAUUACGCUGGAAGCUGACUAGGUCUGGAGUAUUCACAGUUAAAUCAAUGUAUAUUGACGUUAUUAAUUCGAGCUCCAUUCCUACCUCCAAGCAUGUUUGGGCUGUCAAGAUUUCUUUAAAAAUAAAAGUGUUUAUGUGGUUUGUCUAUAAACAAGUUAUUUUAACAAAUAACUACUUGAUAAAGCGUAAUUGGACAGAAACUACUAGGUGUAGUUUCUGUGGUCGGGAUGAAACGAUUAAACACCUCUUUUUUGAUUGCCCGUUGGCCAAAGUCCUUUGGCGGACGGUUCACAUUGCGUUUAAUAUUACUCCACCGAAUUCUGUCAACACGUUAUUUGGAACAUGGCUUAAUGGAAUUGAGUCUACUUAGCGAGACAUAUUCGUGUUGGAGUUUGCGCUUUGUUGUGGACUAUCUGGAAUUGCAGAAAUGAUUUAGUUUUUAACAGAAUACUCCCUCCGUCCGCGAAUAAGUGUACUUCUAGCUUUUGUCUUAAAUCAAAGUUUUGUAAUUUUGACCAACUAUAUACAAAAUAGUAAUAACAUAUAUGACAUCAAAUUAAUAUAUUAUGAAAGUACAUUUCAAAAUAGAUCUAGUGAUAUUAAUUUAGUGUCAUAAAUGCUAGUACUUUUUCCUAUAAAGCUGGUCAAAGUUCUAAAACUUUGACCUAGGACAAAAGCUAGAAGUACACUUAUUCACGGACGGAGGGAGUAUCACGUAUUUACUUUUUGCAGGUUAUUUUUCGAGCCACGACAGUGAUCCGUUCGUGGUCGCUACUCACUCCGAUGGAGGCCAGAGAGCAUUUGGUUACUGGAUCUGUCCGUUGGGAGAUGGUAGCUCAGGAUAUCAUCAACCGGUUUGGAUGGCGUCAUGUAAUAGGAUAGGCAAUUAGUUUACCUAUCUAUCUUUAGCCAGCCGGUUGUGACAUCUUUUCUUGGCUAGUCUGUGUAUCUAGCCCAUUUUGGCUCUGUGUGAGCUAUCUUUUCAGUUUUUCCAGUUGGAGACUUUGGAACUUGUUGGAUCUUUUAUUUGGUUAAUAAGAUGGCCGUAUGCAUAUUUUUGAUGCAGAGGCCGGGGCAAUCUCUUUUCAAAAAAAAAAGAUAUGAUGCAAACGGGGUAGGGAAGGAUGCAGCUCGUUUUACUAUUAUUGAUGUGGGCAAUAUCAAACGCCCGUAAAAACUCACUGAUAUGCAAAUUAACCAAGGAAAAUAACUAAGCAAAAAUGAUCCGUUCAAAGACAAAAAAACACUCAACAAAAAUGAUCCGUCGUCGCCGCCAAUCAACCAUGCCUGAACACUGGCACGCACGUGCAACAGCCAUCGGUCAGGGCAAUGGAAAUUGGCGGCGAGGCUCCAAUGUCAGUCGCAGUGUCGCUGAGCGGCGCAGUUCCGAACUUGCUGCCGCGAGUGGCACUGUGGCAGGGUCGAUCAGACAGCUUCGCUCGCGUCCACAGUUUUGACGGUGGAGGUGUCGGCGAGAAGCGAGCCCCGGCACAGCGGGCAGCUGGGAUGCGAGCACAGCCACGCGUCCACGCACUCCGGGUGGAAGCAGUGUCCGCACCGCGGCAGCGCCUUCACCCUCUCGCCGUCCGCGAACUCGCCGAGGCAUAUCGGGCACUGCGUCUCGUCGUCCUCGCGGCCAGGGGACGCCGACGGAGGACGACGGUAUGGCGUCACGGGCAAGCCGGCUAUCGCGGCAGCGUCGAGGCCAGCCACCGCGGAGGGGGCGCCGGGCGCCGCAGCGGAGGACGACGGCGACGAGGAGGGGUAGGAAAACGAGAUGGGAAGCGUCGCGUCGGCGUUGUACCGGCGGCACACCCAGCGGAGGUAGACGCAGACGCCCACGAAGAAGACGAGGACGGCGAAGAGCGUCGCAAGCAGCGGCACGCCGCGCCCGCCGCGCACCGAGAAGUUGCCGUCGUCCACGUCGCCGUAGCGCCACCGCAGCGCCUGCGACGCCUCCUGCGCGGCCAUGCCACUGCUUCCUCUUCCUCUUCCUCCUCGACCGUUUCCUUCUCUGCCGUGGCGGGACAAAACUAAGCGCGCGCGCGCGGGCGUUGGCUGCACGUCGGCACGGGCUGCGUGGCUUCCGUGGGCCUNNNNNNNNNNNNNNNNNNNNNNNNNNNNNNNNNNNNNNNNNNNNNNNNNNNNNNNNNNNNNNNNNNNNNNNNNNNNNNNNNNNNNNNNNNNNNNNNNNNNNNNNNNNNNNNNNNNNNNNNNNNNNNNNNNNNNNNNNNNNNNNNNNNNNNNNNNNNNNNNNNNNNNNNNNNNNNNNNNNNNNNNNNNNNNNNNNNNNNNNNNNNNNNNNNNNNNNNNNNNNNNNNNNNNNNNNNNNNNNNNNNNNNNNNNNNNNNNNNNNNNNNNNNNNNNNNNNNNNNNNNNNNNNNNNNNNNNNNNNNNNNNNNNNNNNNNNNNNNNNNNNNNNNNNNNNNNNNNNNNNNNNNNNNNNNNNNNNCCCGCCGCCCGGAUCUCGCGCCAAAAGUGGCCAUUUCCUCUUACAGGUUUGACGAGUGCCGUAUCCCGGGUAAUUCAACGUGGCAGCGACUGUCCGUGCGAUGGCGUUCAUGGAGAGUGGGGCUCGACAGGGACCCGAAAGAGAAUUAGAAUAUAAAAUGAUGGCUCACGCAGGCGAUUAAGUUGUUCUUAGCUUGCAAAACUUGCAUUUCUGGAAGCAUCUUAGUCCGUCGAUGUUCCUCCUUAUCAAGGCCCUGUGGCUGUCACGAGGUCGCGCCAGUACGCCAUUACGAUGCUGUUUGCACAGAACCACGGAACCAGAGCGUGCUGGUAGUUGAAGCAAGGAACCAUCUCGACGGACGGCCGGGGAUUAAUCAGUGUAUGGGGUCGUUUUCACCGUAAGGUUAUCUGUAUGUAUAUAUAUGCGCAUAAAACUGGGUGUUCUGUUUUCAUGCGUGUACUCCAUACAUAUACUCUCCAGAAAGUUCGUAUGGCAUCGGAGUUAGCAAGGUUCAGUGGACGUGGGCUACUCCUACUAUGUACACGAACAAAUACUUGGGCACGCCAAGGCCGAAGGAAGAACCUACUAGUAUAUUUUUGGUAUUUCCGAGCUCAAAAGAAGCCAUUCACAUGGAAAGAAAUACUGUAACGCCACAUGUUUAACCUCUUGGCACAUGGGCGAUGGUAACAAACGGCAGAAAGAGAAGUAGGCACUGCGCCAAAUUGCUGGAGCUGACGCGAUACAAUUGUCAAAGCCAUGAUAUACACCGGUGUACAGAUCGGGGCAUGCACGCACACUCCUUUGACAGGGAAGUAGUGUCAAGAAAAAGUAUCAUAUGGUAAGAUGGCACAAGGUUUUUUUUAUUUUGGAAAUAAAAAAAUCGGACCUCACUGAAAUAUGUGAAAUUUCUGAAAUUUCGCAUAUUCUGGAAAUUAUUUCGAAUUUUGAGAUUUCAAAUUUCACUUAAUUUAAUGAAUUUUGACAUAAUUUAAAUUUAUUUUAAAAUCAGUUUGAAAAUGCCUCAAAAUUUCAGGGUUAAAAAUAUUUUCAGACCCCACUGAAACAUGCGAAAUUUCGUUGAAAUUUUUAACCCUCCAUGUAGAAUGUUGGCACAAGAAAAAAAGUGGAGUGGGCGUUAAUACAAGGUUGAAAAUUGAAUUCAUCCGAUAAAAGACACAGUUAGGGCCAAUCCAUGCUGGGCUGGUUUAAUCAGAGGCUGGGUUAGGUGCCUAGGUUGUGAGGUGUGACCGAGAGACUGAUUUAGUUUUCAACAAUAAGACUAUAAAACUGUUAAACAGAUGGUGGAUGGAACCCGACCUUCAAGAGAUAUCCGAGUUAAAUAGAAUGAAAAAUAUGUGCAAGAUGUUAACCUUGCCAUUGGAUGGGGAUGAUGCACCUAGAUGGUCUUGGAAUAAAAGUGGCAUGUUCAGUGUAGAAACCUACGUAUAACCAUCUACCAAAUGAUAGUCCCGAUAGAUCGUUUAAACAUCUAUGAAAGGCUAAAAUCCCCUUGAAAUCAAAAUAUAGCUUUGGUUGAUAUGGCACAGUGCCAUUGCCACCAAGCACAACAUGAUCAAAAGGAAGUGGGUUCACGACCCUUUGUGUCGCCUUUACCUAGAUCCCAUGAAUAUUCAUCAUUUGUUUUUACCGUUCUGCUGGCAAGCAUGCAUGGAGUGUGAUCUGUAGAUGCAUUGAUGCUAAUUAUAGACCCACUUGUUUCUCGCAAUAUUUAUGUUGAUUCCAAGGUAUUUGCCCAUCAGUAGAAACCUAUCAAUUGUAGAUUUAGUUGCUCUAUGCUAGCUAAUCUAGAAACAUCCUAAUUGGGCUUGUUUUGAGAAGUAUCUUGUUCGCUACCAUGUUGAAUUUAUUUGGUAUGCAUGCUCUUUCAUUCACUAUUGGGCAGAUUUGCAAAACAAAGGUGAGCGAGCUGCACUGGAAUAGGGUAUGGCAGCUUUGGAAUUCCAUAAUGAUUGUCAUGCAGAGAGAGGAAGGGAUGUGCUAAUGUGUAGCUCUUAAUUUCUUUUUCCUCCCCUGUGGAUUUGGGGCAUUUUUGGUCCCCUGUGUAACAUAUUCUGUCAGGUUUUCCUACCAGGGCAUUUUUGUGGCGGUGGCUGGCGAGACUCUUUCAUUUAAGCCUUUUGUUAUUUUUUUUCUUUGCACCUGGAUAUGUUUUUCUUUUUUUGCUCCAUUAUCGAUUUGAUACUGAAAGUCGAUCCUUUUUUGGAUUGAAUGGAAAAACACAAUGCCUUCAUCUACGGCUUUUCAUGUACUACUCAUUAUGAUUGCAAUCAUCACCUUGUUGUGCAGCCACUUACAUGUAUCCUCAUUAUAUAUUUCAGCAUAGUUCCCUAUGUAAAAAAAUUGGACUCCGUUUGCAACAAACAAUUUUGUCUGGUACAUCAUACUACAUAAUAUGAUGUGUAGCUACUUCCCCAAGGGUGGCAUGACUAAGUUCUUUAGCCCAUGUAUGAAACCAUGGUUUUUAUCCUACGUGCUNNNNNNNNNNNNNNNNNNNNNNNNNNNNNNNNNNNNNNNNNNNNNNNNNNNNNNNNNNNNNNNNNNNNNNNNNNNNNNNNNNNNNNNNNNNNNNNNNNNNNNNNNNNNNNNNNNNNNNNNNNNNNNNNNNNNNNNNNNNNNNNNNNNNNNNNNNNNNNNNNNNNNNNNNNNNNNNNNNNNNNNNCCAAAAGGUGAUCAUCGUCUUUAGCGAGCUGUUUUUGUUUGGUCAAAGUUUGUUAUUCUUCAGUGUUUAACAUAUCGUGUUAAUUUAGGCUUGCCUUGGAUGCACAAUAUUGUGCGUUGAAAUUUCUUUUGUUGUUAAGGAAAGAAUUUCCUAGCUAAUUUUAGUUAUAUCAAGCAAUAGUUACAUCGUCCACUAAUAGGUUAACUAUAGAACUAGGGGGAUAAUCCAAUCAAAUAGCCCAUGAAUUACAACACCCCAACUUAUUAGCUAGCUCAUGUGCGAAUACAUUCGAUUAUCUAUUAUAGUGUUGAACUAAAGCCUUUGCAAACUCCGUCAAUCAAGAACCUACAAUCAUCGAUGAUAUACGCCCCCACUAGUGAGUGACGUAAAUUCGUGUUGAGUGCUUCUACUAGCUUUGCAUUGCCAGACUAUACAAUGAGAUGAUUGCAUUGUGUGGCAUGGGCAAGUGCCAAACCUUCCUUCAAUGCAGCAACUUCUAGAGUGAUAACAUCAACAAUGUGCUCUAGACGAGCCAUUGUUGCGCCAACAAAUAAGCCGCAAUGUCGAAUUUAACAAAUGUACAAUCAAGCAGUUGGGCCAUAAUACCUUCACAAUGAUGUGUCAACAUGUUAGCACAUUGGGGACCAGUGGCAACUACCUGGAAUAGGGACAGGGAUAAAGGUUGUCGACGCGAGCAUGGGGGACUGGUGGAGCUCACGGUAUCUACAAAAAUCUCUUCGUGUUGGAUGUAGAAGAGCUCCUGUUUCCCUCUGAUGCCGUUCUGCAAGUCGCUGACAUGGGCAUCUGGAGAGGGCGCAUGACUGAUGGAAGAGAUGAAUGAGUGGAACUAUCGUCCCAUGUGGACCCUCAUGCAGAACCGAGGCUUUAAACGCUAUCUAUAUACUUAGAUAUACCAAAUCCAGUCCAUUGGGACCUCGCCAUGUUGGCCCAAUCACGCCCAGACACCUGCCCAAGCAGUUGAUGUCUCCGCGUGCAGAUCGUGCGCUUUUGUUAGACCAUAUUUACCGCAUAGGGCAUGUAAUAGACGACCACUCGUGGCCAAUGGAUCGGUCCGUUAACGAGCACACAUGAUUUUUUUUGUUUGCUUUCAUCGGCGGUGCUAUAUCGCUUUAAGCAUGUGCAAAAAGCUCAUGUUGAUAUAUAUAAUUUUUCCCCAGUGUUGUGAUGUAUAUCUUUCUUCAGAUAUUUAUUUUUUGAUUUUUAUUUCCAGGUAUGCUCUAAAAGUAAAAUAAAAUCUGAUGAUAUUUCUAAUUAUAAAAAAAGUUCUCAAAGCAAAAAAAUGCAGGAAUCUGAAAAAUGCAGCAAGAACUGGCGCCUACAGCGACCAGCCAUGGGCCGCGGCCCAUUAAAAGAUCGCUCGCUCGCUCCCUUUCCGUUCGCUCGCUCGCCUGGAUGUAGAAAAAAAGACUCGCAUCGCUUGCUUUUUUGGGCUGUGCUGCGCCGCUGGUUCAGGAAAAAGACCGGCCUCCGGUUUUUACAAGUUUGAAUAUGUUUGCGAAAAAAGGUCAUAUAUUAUUAAGAAAAGUUCAUUGAUUUUGAACAAGAAACUUCACAAAUCUGAAAAAUGUUCAUCUGAUUAGAAAAAAGUUGAUCAAAUUGAAUAUAGUUCACUGGAUUUGGAAAAAAGUUCACCGAAUCGAAAAAAGUUCACUGGAUUUGAUUUUUUUUUUCAUCCAAUUGAAAAGGUUCAUCAGAUUUUAGAAAAAGUUCAGCGAUUUUUAGAAUAAGUUCAGAAAAAUGUUCAGAAGUUCAUUCACUUUCAAAAAAAAGUUAAUCAGUUUGAAAAGAAAUCAUUGAACUUGAAAAAGUUCAUUGAAAUUAAAAAAAAGUUCAUCGAAUAGAAAAAAGUUCAUCAAUUUAAAGAAAAAUGUUCACGAAUUAGAAAACAAAUAUUGUCUAUUUUUAGACAUUUCAUGCAUUAAAAAAAGAAAACAGGAAUGAAAAAAAGGGGAUCAAACACAGGAAACAAAAAGGUAUAAAAUACGGAAUCGAGGCUUGUAUUCACAAGUCAAGGCGGUGGCGUAGUGGUCUGCUAGUUUUCUAUCAACUCAGAGAUAGUUGGUUUCGAUUCUUGGUUGUGCACGUUUUUCCUACCUCUCCUUUUUUGAUUUCGAAAACAGGGGGCAAAAUGGGAGUUGGGCCGAGCCCAGCUAGCGCCGCUGCAGGCGCCGGUUGCGGAAACAGCUAUAACCGGCGCUUGCAGCGCCAAAUAGGAAAUACUGGUUCUGGAAGCUUCCAGGAGGAGGUUUUUUUUUCUGGUUGUUUUGCCCUUAUUUCCUCAUAAUUUAUCUUCGGAAAAUCUAACGCCCACACGUGUGGGCAUUUGCACAUCGCCCACACGCCUUCAUCAUAACUCAUUUUGUCACGUGUGAAUAGAUGACAUCAAUAGAAAUCUUUUUGAUUUUUGGCUUAAAAAUGUUUUAUCUCCUAAUUAAAAAGGCAAAUUAAAAAUACGUUUUCACCAUUAAAUCCGUCUCGACGAGAUCUUCAAAACCAGACCCCAUGUUGAUAUGUUUCAACGAUUUUUUUGUCUAAAAGUUGCCAUGAUGUUUACACUGUAGUUGCCAUGGCGCUUAAACUAAAAUUGCCAUGUGGCAAUUUUAGUUUGCAGAUCAUGGCAAUUUUAGUUUUUGAUGAUGGCAAUUCCAGUACUUUGAUCAUGAAAAUAUUUUUUGUCUGAACCAUGGCAAUUUUAAGUGCAUGUAUCAUGGCAAUUUUAGUUUAUGGUGCAUGACAAGUCUAGUUUCUUAAUUUUCCGUUUUAUAAUAUGUCAAAAUUUACUUUUAAAUAUAGAAGAAAUAGCUAAAACAUAACAUGGCAACUUUAGUGUAAACAUUAUGGUAAUUCAUGUCCAAUAGACAUGGCAACUUUUAACAAAACAAAUUCGUAGAAAUAUAUUGAUAUGAGAUCUAGUUUCGAAGAUCUCGUCGCGAGUGAUUUAAUGGUGAAAACAGAUCUUAAAUCAGAAUUUGCAUUUAAGAGACAAAAUAUUUUAAAAACUGAAAAUCCAAAAAGAUUUUCACAUGCAUGCAUGCGAUGACAUGGCAUAGUCUGUAUGUUAUAGGGCAUGUGGGCAGGUUUGGCUUCCACCACACGUGUGGGCGUUAGCGUUGUCCUUUAUCUUUUGUUAUUUUCAUUUUAUCUUUUAUCUUUUAAUUUUUUUAAUUGGAUCAACUUUUUUAAAAUUCAGGAACUAUUUUCUAUUGCCGUGAACUUUCUUAUAUUCGAAACAUUUUCAAAUUCAAGAUUUUUGCCAAAUUUUUUGCACUUUUUCACAAUUUGAAUUUUUUGACAGAAAGUUAUGAACAUUUCACAAAGUCGUGUAUUUUUCAAAUUCAUGAACCUUUUUUCAAAUAUAUCAUUAUUUUUCAAAUUUGCAAACUUAUUUUUAAGCUAUGUUUUUUUAACAAAUUCAUGACUUUUUUGUUUUUUUGGCAAACAUGGUGCUUCUUUUUUUUUAAACAACACUAUAUUUUAAACAGUGAACUAGCGAGCCAGGUGGCCAAACGACCGGGUCGGGGGCAGCCUAGCAACAAGCCUAGUGGGCGGCCAAUGCCGCAGGUCUCAGUGGCUGCUAGGUUACUAGGAAGUCCUAUAGGAUGCUGUUUGCGUCAAAAUGCUGGGGCUUCGCACAGAGCAUCCAGUUGGUGGGCUUUCUCGGUUAUUUUUUUCGACUGUAGCGACUGGCUCCCAAAAGAAGUACCACCGCAGGGAAUGGAACACAGUAUCCCGUCAUGAGAGAGAAGGCGAUACAACCAAUUUAGCUAGCCAACUUUAGUGAUUAUAAAACAAAACAAACUUUUAAGAACCGAACACCAGCGCAGAUUCUAAAGGCAGCGCAAAUUCUAAAGGCAGCGCAAAUCAUUAAAUGCUGAAAAACAUUUUCUGAAAAUUGUCAACACUUUUCAGAAAUGGGAACAUUUUUUAUAAUUCCGCUUUUUUUUUAUAAUCAAACAUUUUUUAAAUUACUAAAAAAAUGUAAACAUCGACUUUUUUAAAAAUUUGUAAACAAUUUUUGAAAAUGGGAACAUUUGCUAAGUUCCAAAUAAUUUACAAAUAACCUUUCGAACAUUUUUUUUGAUAAACACAUUUUUUUUAAAACACAAACAUUUUUUCAAAUUUGCAAACAAUUAAUGAAACUCCUACAAAAAUUGUAACUUUAACAUUUUUUUUAAAAAAAUGAAUAUUUUUCUAAAGCAGGAACAUUUUUUGAAAUUCCAAAUUUUUUGAAAAUUAUUUUCAAAAUGAUCAGUUUUUGAAAAUUGCAAAUAAUUUUUGAAAGAUGAUCAUUUUUGGAACAACUCAUAAAAUGGAAAUUUUGAGAACAUUUUUUUAACAUGAACAAUUUUUAAUUUCUGAACAAUUGUUUAUAAUGGGACAUUUUUAAAAUUCUGAACAUCUUUUGAAAAGUACAAACAUUUUUUGAAAAUCUUGAACAUUUUUUCAGAUUUUUGAACAAAACAAUAAAAGACAUGAAUUUAAAUAAAUAAUUAAAAUUGAAGAAAUAAAAAUCUUUUUUUGAACAACAAAGAGCGCCAAAGGCGCCAAAUUGCAUUCAGCUCAACAACAUAAUACAACAUUUAUUACAAUGCCCUGUACUAGUGUAGCAGACUAAAGAGCAAGCAAAACAAGACAACAGUUUAUGGAAUGAGCUGAUUUAGAGCAUACAUAGAUAGAUUGGUCAAGGCGUCGCUUUCGAAUCUGUUUUGCACAACUAUGUGCCACACCAUUGAGCUCCCUCUUGAUAUGAAAUACCUGUAUUAAAUCGGUACUAGUGGCUUGGAGAAAAUAUGCAAUUAUAUCUCUUGUGUCCCAACGCAUUAGUGGAUGGUCCAACUUCCUGGCGAUCGCCACCCUCGCGAGAACCUGGUUAUCAGUAAGAAAAGUUGGGCACUGAAUUUGAAGGAUAUGCGCCAAAGUUGCCGCCAGUAGAAGAGCUUUCGCUUCUGCCUGAAAGGCUGAAGAUGCUUGCGGUGCCGAUGCUUGUAUCAUGAUGUUAUAAUCCCUACCAGCAAGGUUGCUCCUGAUGUAUACCCCAAUGCCAGUGGCCUGAAGACAAUCCGCACCUUAAAUAUCCCUGCACUUUCAAGAAGCAUCAGCAAAGAUAAAGUAGCCAGGGAUACUCCUAUCAGUGGAGAUGGUUGAUACUUGCAUAGACACCACCCGCUUCAACAAAGGGGUUUUGAGCUACUUCUCCUGCAACUUUGCAUUGACAUGAUCAAAUCAAAUGAAAGAAAAGAAAAGAAAACGAAAUAGAAAAAAAGAAAAAAGGGACAGAAAGGAAAAAACUAGAAAAAGGAAAAAAUAAAAUAAAUAAAACAGAACAAGGAAAAAACCGGUUCAGAAACCUUCUAGAAGUUUCCCAAAACCAGAUAAACCGGCUAGGAACCUCUAGAAGGUUCCCAAAACCGGGGACGUUGAAACGCUUAAACGGGCUAGCCCAGCAGAACUAUCGCUCGAUCUCCCUUGUGCGAAACCUCGACAGUUUAACGCAGCAUGUGUCCAAUAGGAAAUUCCACUACGAUCGUCUUGCGGUUCCUAUUCUGUGCUUAUGUCUCCGAUUACUGGAAAUUCCACUACGAUCGUCUCGUGGUUCCUAUUCUGCGCUUAUGGCACCGGUUACUUUGGUAACCAUCGCAACGCACACCCCUGCUAUAAGUGGGCCGACCCAUAUAACGGGAGAGUGAACGUUCGAUGGUCGCUUGACGGUUUUACAGUGGACCGGUCAAGGACAAUUGUUUUUUUUCAGUUGACCAGUUGAAGAUUCCCAAAGCUAUUAGGAAGCUUUCAGAAGCUUUUGGCUGAUUUUUUUGUUUUGUUUUCCUAUUUUAUUUUGAUUUUCACCUAUUUUUUUCAUUAUGAAAUUUCACAAAAAAUUCAAAUUUGUGAAAAAUAGAAAUCAUAAAAAAUGCGAACCUUUUUCGAUUUUGAGAAUAUUAUCCAAAAUGGGGACUUUUCCUAAUUCAUUUUUCUAAUUUGCCAAAUCAUUUUCAAGUUUGAAACAUUUUGUAUUCGUGUUUACCGAAUUCAUGAACAAUUUUUCAAAUUCACAAACUGAAAGCACAAGUGCUCCAUGGGUGAUUUUGAUAAUUAACAUCAACAUAUCUCUUGUUAGACUAAUAUUUGCAUCUAGUAUAUUUCAGAAAGUUCAACAAUGGCGUGGCAUGGACAAGAGGAUGUGGAACCCCUUCAAGAUGCUAAGGACAAAGAUUGACAAAACUCAAGACGCUUCAUUUCUAUUUUAGUGAUUUAAGAUCACGUUGAGUCCAUAGGAAAAGCUAAUACUAUAGAGAGGGGAUGAGGUGUUGUUUAAGGAUCUACUUGCUCAAAGUGCUUAGUGAUAUGCUCCAAAGACCUCAACCACUUUCUCAAAUUCAAAUAUGUCCUAAACCUCAAGUUAAACUCGGCCCCACCGAUUUGAUCGAUACGGCGCCACCAAGUUCUUUUGACAUAGCCACUGCUAGAAACCCUAAUCAAUUCGAUCUCACCGAUAGGGAUCUCAGUCUCACCGAGAUGGCCUUGCAAACUCCCUGUUGUCCGUUGUAAUUAUUUUGGUCUCACCGAAAUGUGCAAUCGGUCCCACCGAGUUUGCUUGACCAACUCUCUGUUUGCUCAUUGCUGAAAUCGGUCUCACCGAGUUCAUGCAACCGGUCACACCGAGAUGAGAUUUUGCCCUAACCCUAGCACACCGGUCACACCGAGUUGAUCAUGUCAGUCCCACCGAGAAUCCUAACAUUCACGUUUUGAACUGAAUCGGCCUCACCGAGUUCACCUAUUCGGUCUGACCGAGUUGGGUCAAAUGUGUGUAAAAGUUAGAUUUUGUGUGGAGGCUAUAUAUACCCCUCCACCCCCUUCUCUAUUCAAGAGAGAGCCAUCAGAACAUGCCUACACUUCCACUACUCAUUUUAUGAGAGAGAACCACCUACUCAUGUGUUGAGACCAAGACAUUCCAAUCCAACCACAAGAAUCUUGAUCUCUAGCCUUCCACAAGUUGGUUUCUACUCAAAUCAUCUUUUCACCAUAGCCAAAUCUAUGAGAGAGAGUUGAGUGUUGGGGAGACUAUCAUUUGGAGCACAAGAGCAAAGAGUUCAUCAUUGACACACCAUUUAUUACCUUUUGGAGAGUGGUGUCUCCUAGAUUGGUUAGGUGUCACUUGGGAGCCUCCGUCAAUAUUAUGAAGUUGAACCAAGGAGUUUGUAAGGGUAAGAAGAUUGCCUACUUCAUGAAGAUCUACCCAAGUGAGGCAAGUCCUUUAUGGGCGAUGGCCAUGGUGGGAUAGACAAGGUUGCUUCUUCGUGCACCCUUCGUGGGUGGAGCCCUCACUGGACUCGCGCAACCGUUACCCUUCGUGGGUUGAAGUCUCCACCAACGUGGACAUACUAUAGCACCACCUAUCGGAACCACGCCAAAAAUCUCUGUGUCUCCAAUUGCGUUUGCACACUCCAAUCCCAUCCCUUUACUUUCUUGUAACUUGCAUGCUUUACUUUCUGCUGCUCAUAUACUCUUGCCAUGCUUGAUUGAAAUAUAUUGUGAAUGCUUAAACUUGUGCUAAAACUCCAUCUCAACUUGAAGAAUCUAAAAACUGCCACUUUUGCUUGUUGAGGGUCUAAUCACCCCCCUUUAGACACCUCUUCUUGAUCCUUUCAAUUGGUAUCAGAGCAUUGAUCUCCAUUGCUUUGGUUUAAUCACCAUUGGAGGAAGAUGGAUGAGUCUACGAUGGGGAGUUUUAGACGUAGAGUGCCUAUGCUUGACGGAGAGUUCUUUAGUGCUUGGAAAAAUGAGAUGCUUGAGAUUUUCAAUGAAUAUAUCACUUGAACAAGUACAUUACUAGCCCUUGUGCACCCCUUAUUGAUCCAUUGCAUCCUACCCCCGAUGAGUCUCUUGACAUGAUCUGUAAUCUUAGAACCAUUGAUCUUAUCAUUAGAGGAUUGCAUAGAAAUUUGAGUGUAUGCUUGCCUGCUCUAGAAUGUGCUUAUACCAUAUGGAGAUUUCUUGAGGAACGUUUUCCAAACUAUUCAUUGAAAAAUCUAGAUGUGAUUCUUCAAAAGACCAUAGAUUUUCAUAAAAUGAAACCUAGUGAUCCUAAAUUUGAUGAUUGUCUAUUUGAGCUUCGUGACCUUAUGCGUGCCAAAGGAGAUGUUGGAGUCAUUAGUAGCAUCAUCUCUCAAGUCAUUAGAAUUCAUAAAGAUGAACAUUGCCAUGGUCAUACAUCUAAUGAAUCACUCUCUCUAGGUGAUGAUCUAUCACAAGACAAUGUUGAAUAUGGAUACUAUGAUGAGGAUGAUGAUAGUGACUUUGAUCUCAAUGAGUCUAUGAGACACUUUGGUCUUAUGGCUAACCUUCGCGGCUAUAUGGCUGGAGGAGGAAUGGGUUCUUGAUAGUGGAUGUACAAAUCACAUUACCGGAGACAAGGAUAUGUUUCGUGAGCUUGCUGAAAACGACAGCCCUCGAAAGUAUGUCACUUUUGGUGAUAACUCAAAGGGUAAGGUGGUUGGCCUUGGUAAGGUGGCCAUCUCAUAUGACAGCUCCAUCCAUAAUGUUAUACUCGUUGAAUCUCUUGGCUAUAAUUUACUUUCCUUAUCUAGACUAGUGAUACGUCAAUUUUGCAUCAUAUUUUCUUACUGUUAUUUAUGAUGUUUUUAUCCAUAAUAAUGUUUUUUUGAGUAAUUCUAAUGCCUUUUCUCUCAUAAUUUACAAGGUACACACCAAGGGGGAGAAUUCUGGCAGUUGGAAAUCUGGACCUGGAAAAGCUACGUCAGGCUACCUAUUCUGCACAACUCCAAACAAGCUGAAACUUCACGGGGAUUUUUUAUGGAAUAUAUAAGAAUUAUUAGAGAAAAUAACUACCAGAGGGGGGCCACCAGGUGGGCACAACCCACCUAGGCACGCUAGGGCCCCCUAGCGCGCCCUGGGGGUUGUGGCCUCCUAGGCCCACCUCCGGUGCCCAUGUUUUGGUAUAUAAGUCAUUUUGACCUAGAAAAAAAAUAAGAAGAGGACUUUCAGGAGAAGCGCCGCCGCCUCGAGGCGGAACUUGGGCAGGAGCACUUUUGCCCUCCGGCGGAGCGAUUCCACCGGGGGAACUUCCCUUCCAGAGGGGGAAAUUAUCGUCAUCAUCAUCACCAACAACUCUCCCAUCUUGGGGAGGGCAAUCUCCAUCAACAUCUUCAACAAAACCAUCUCCUCUCAAACCCUAGUUCACCUCUUGUGUUCAAUCUUGUUACCGGAACUAUAGAUUGGUACUUGUGGGUGACUAGUAGUGUUGAUUACAUCUUGUAGUUGAUUACUAUAUGGUUUAUUUGGUGGAAGAUUAUAUGUUCAUAUCCAAAUGAUAUUUAAUACUCCUCUAAUCAUGAGCAUGUUUAUCAUUUUUGUGUAGUUACCUUUGUUCUUGAGGUCACAGGAGAAAUCAUGUUGCAAGUAAUCAUGUGAAUUUGAUAUGUGUUCGAUAUUUUGAUAAUAUGUAUGUUGUGAUUCCCUUAGUGGUGUCAUGUGAACAUCGACUACAUGACACUUCACCAUAUUUGGGCCUAACGGAAUGCAUUGCGGAGUAGCAAUUAGAUGAUGGGUUGCGAGAGUGAUAGAAGCUUAAACCCCAGUUUAUGCGCUAUUCUGUAAGGGACCGAUUGGAUCCAAAAGUUUAAUGCGAUGGUUAGAAUUUAUUCUUAAUACUUUUCUCAUAGUUGCGGAUGCUUGCGGGAGGGUUAAUCAUAAGUAGGAGGUUUGUUCAAGUAAUAACAUCACCUAAGCACCAUUCCACCCACAUAUCAAAUUAUCAAAGUAGCGAACACAAAUCGAACCAACAUGAUGAAAGUGACUAGAUGAAAUUCCCGUGUAUCCUCAAGAACGCUUUGCUUAUGAUAAGAGACCGUUUUGGCCUGUACUUUGCCUCAAAAGGAUUGGGCUACCUUGUUACACUUUUGUUACUACUAUGGUUACUUGCUCAUUACAAAUUAUCUUGCCAUCAAACUACCCUGCUACUUAGAAUUUCAGCAUUUGCAGACAUCACCUUACUGGAAACUACUUGUCAUUUCCUUCCGCUCCUCGUUGGGUUCGACACUCUUACUUAUUGAAAAGAGCUACAAUUGAUCCCCUAUACUUGUGGGUCAUCAAGGCUAUUUUCUGGCGCCGUUGCCGGGGAGUGAAGCGCUUUUGGUAAGUAGAAUUUGGUAAGGAAAUAUUUAUACAGUGUGCUGAAAUUUAUUGUUACUUGUUAUUAUGGAAAACAAUCCAUUGAGGGGUUUGUUCGGGGUAUCUUUGCCUCGUACGGAACUACAAUUAGCUACCCCUCAACCUACUGCACCUACUGAAAAUAUUGAAUAUGAAAUUCCUUCGGGUAUGAUAGAACAACUGCUAGCUAAUCCUUAUGCAGGAGAUGGAACCGAACAUCCUGAUAUACACUUGAUAUAUGUGGAACAAAUUUGUGGAUUGUUUAAGCUUGCAGGUUUACCCGAAGAUAAAGUUAUGAAGAAGGUUUUCCCUUUAUCUUUGAAGGGAAAAGCAUUGGCAUGGUAUAUGCUAUGCGAUGAUAUUGGAUCAUGGAAUUGGAAUCGUUUGAAAUUGGAGUUCCACCAAAAAAAUUAUCCUAUGCAUCUAGUUCAUCGUGAUCGGAAUUAUAUAUAUAUAUAUAUAUAUAUAUAUAUAUAUAUAUAUAUAUAUAUAUAUAUAUAUAAAUUUUUUUGCCUCGUGAAGGAGAAAGAAUCGCUCUAGCUUGGGGGAGGCUUAAGUCAAUGUUAUAUUCAUGCCCCAUUCAUGAGUUCUCAAGAGAAAUUAUUAUUCAGAAUUUUAUGCUCGGCUUUCUCGUAAUGAUCAAACCAUGCUUGAUACUUCUUGUGCUGGUUCCUUUAUGAAGAAGACUAUUGAAUUCCAGUGGGAUCUUUUGGAAAGAAUUAAAUGCAACUCUGAAGAUUGAGAACUCGACAAAGGUAAAGAGUCAGGUAUUAAACUUGAGUAUGAUUGUGUUAAAUCUUUUAUGGAUACUUAUGCUUUUCAAAAGUUGAGCACUAAAUAUUUACUUGACUCUGAGAUAGUAGCCUCCUUUUGUGAAUCUUUUGCCACUCAUGUUGAACUCCCUAUGGAGAAGUGGUUUAAAUAUCACCCACCUAUUAAAGAAGAAAUUAAAGAACCGGUACCAGUUAAAGAAGAAACUAUACUUUAUAAUGUUGAUCCAGUUGUUCCUUCUGCUUAUAUUGAGAAACCACAUUUCCCUAUUAGGAUAAAGAAACAUGCUAAAGUUUCAACUGUGGUUAACAAAAUCUACAUUAGAACACCUAAACUUGAUGAACAAAUAAAAUUUGAACUUAGUAUUACUAUGGUUAAAGAUCUCUUGGAAGAAGAUAUGGAUGGGCAUGUUAUUUACUUCUGUGAAGAAGCUGCUAGAAUUGCCAAACCCGAUAAGAAAGAUAAACAUAGACCCGUUGCUGGCACCCUGUCAUCUCAGUUAAAAUAGGAUAUCACUGUUAUCAUGGUUUAUGUGACAUGGGUGCUAGUGUGAGUGCUAUACCUUACACCUUAUAUCAAGAAAUUAUGAAAUACAUAGCACCUACAGAGUUAGAGGAAAUAGAUGUUACCAUUAAACUGGCUAACAGAGACACCAUAUCACCAUUUGGGAUUGUUAGAGAUGUUGAAGUCUUGUGUGGGAAAAUAAAAUACCAUACUGAUUUUCUUGUUCUUGGUUCCCCGCAAGAUGACUUUUGUCCCAUUAUUUUUGGUAGACCUUUCUUGAAUACAGUUAAUGCUAAGAUAGACUGUAAGAAACAAACUGUUGGUGUUAGCUUUGGUGAUUAGUCUCAUGAGUUUAAUUUUUCCAAGUUUAGUAGAAAUCUUCAUGAAAAAGAAUUGGCUAGUAAGGAUGAAUUAAUUGGUCUUGCUUCUAUUGCUGUACCACCUACUGAUCCUUUAGAAUAAUAUUUGCUAGACCAUGAAAAUGAUUUAUGUCAGGGUUCAGGAACGACACCUAUGGGAUCCCUCGGGGAGUCCCUUCUACGGUUGGCAUGGCGUGGGGCUAUGCAAAGAGCGGGUCUAGAAGAUCAAUGUGGUGGGAUUUUUACCCAGGUUCGGUCCACAAACGAUGCGUAAAACCCUAGUCUUGCUUUGUGUGUAUUUAGUGUUCUUGAGCUCCUGAACUAGCUGCGGUGCAUGCCUAGUCCAAAAAGUCCGAAUCCUUCCUCAGUACGCCUCGGGCCUCCUUUUAUAUGUCAAAGGGGUUGCCACAAUGGCACACAAGAGGAGAAAAGUAUGUACAAUGUACAAGUCUAUCACCUAGCACCAUAGGACAAACACAUUUAAUGCGCCACCGACGUGCCCUCUUGCUUUAACGGGGACGGUAAAGAAGCUCGUACCGUCCAUCACUGCCUCGCCUUGCUUCGACGCGCGUCCAAGGUGACGAGGCAUGCAACGCCAUGCUGGCUGGCCGGCUGCUGAGCUGGUGUGGUGGCAGAGUCUUCACGAAGAUCUGCAUGCCACCAAGCAGGUGCAUUGGCGAGUUGGCCUAGAAGCUACAUGUUGUCACACAGGCGCUCGCCUAGUUGGUGGGUUGGCCGCCAUGUCGGAACGGGUGCGGGGCAGCGAAACUCUGGCAAGUGUGAGCCUGGCCUCGGCCCUGCAGAUGCUCCCGGCAAGGGCCUUGCUGGGAUCUCGUGGGUGUCCCCAGCAAGAGUCUUGCCGGGGGGCUUGCGAGCGUCCCCGGCAAGGGUCUUGCCGGGGGUCUUCGGUCGUCCCUGACAAGAUCUUGCCGGGGGUCUUCGUCUUCUGGUUCUUAUCUAGGCCUACAGGCCUUUGGUUUUCUCAAACAUCUGCAUGCCACCAUGCAAGCGCUCCCGAGCCUUGGUCUUGACGUUGUUGAUGGCGUCAUAACUCUCAGGCUCAAGGGUGGCAGUCUUGCUGGUGUUGGACAAGUUGCCCCGGCAAAGCUCUUGCCGGGGCCAUGUAGGCCGUCCCGGCAAGGGUCUUGCUGGGGGGAAGUCCAUCUUACCCCUUUGUUCUUCAUGCUUCUGGUUCGAGUGCUACCUUGGCAGCCUCGUGAUACGUCUCCAACGUAUCUAUAAUUUUUGAUUGCUCCAUGCUAUAUUAUCCACUGUUUUGGGCAAUAUUGGGCUUUACUUUCCACUUUUAUAUUACUUUUGGGACUAACCUAUUAACUGGAGGCCCAGCCCAGAUUUGCUGUUUUAUGCCUAUUUCAGUGUUUCGAAGAAAAGGAAUAUCAGACGGAGUCGAAAUGGAACGAAAUCAACUGGAGAAGUUAUUUUUGGAAAGAAACACACCUGAUGAACUUGGACCCCACGUCAGGGGAGACACGAGGUGCUCACGAGGGUGGGGGGCGCGCCCCCCUGUCUCGUGGGACCCCCGUGGCUCCUCCGACGUCCUCCCUGCACCCAUAUAUACCCACGUGACCUAAAACUUCCAGAACGCAGCAUAGAUCGGGAGUUCCGCCGCCAGAAGGCUUCGUAGCCACCAAAAACCAAUCGAGACCCGUUCCAGCACCCUGCCGGAGGGGGCAAUCCUUCUCCGGUAGCCAUCUUCAUCAUCCCGGUGCUCUCCAUGACAAGGAGGGAGUAGUUCUCCCUCGGGGCUGAGGGUAUGUACCAGUAGCUAUGUGUUUGAUCUCUCUCUCUCUCUCGUGUUCUUGAGAUGAUACGAUCUUGAUGUAUCGCGAGCUUUGCUAUUAUGUUUGGAUCCUAUGAUGUUUCUUCCCCCCUCUACUCUCUUGUAAUGAAUUGAGUUUCCCCUUUUGGAGUUAUCUUAUCAGAUUGAGUCUUUAAAGAUUUGAGAACACUUGAUGUAUGUCUUGCCGUGGAUAUCUGUGGUGACAAUGGGAUAUCACGUGAUUCACUUGAUGUAUGUCUUGGUGAUCAACUUGCGGAUUACUCCCAUGAACCUAUGCAUAGGGGUUGGCACACGUUUUCGUCGUGAUUCUCCGGUAGAAACUUUGGGGCACUCUUUGAGGUCCUUUGUGUUGGUUGAAUAGAUGAAUCUGAGAUUGUGUGAUGCAUAUCGUAUAAUCAUACCCACGGGUACUUGAGGUGACAUUGGAGUAUCUAGGUGACAUUAGGGUUUUGGUUGAUUUGUGUCUUAAGGUUUUAUUCUAGUAUGAACUCUAGGGCUGUUUGUGACACUUAUAGGAAUAGCCCAACGGAUUGAUUGGAAAGAAGAACUUUGAGGUGGUUUCAUACCCUACCAUAAUCUCUUCAUUCGUUCUCCGCUAUUAGUGACUUUGGAGUGACUCUUUGUUGCAUGUUGAGGGAUAGUUAUGUGAUCCAAUUAUGUUAGUAUUGUUGAGGGAACUUACACUAGCGAAAGUAUGAACCCUAGGCCUUGUUUACCAUCAUUGCAAUACCGUUUACGCUCACUUUUAUCACUUGUUACCUUGCUGUUUUUAUAAUUUCAGAUUACAAAUUCCUAUAUCUACUAUCCGUAUACCACUUGUAUCACCAUCUCUUCGCCGAACUAGUGCACCUAUACAAUCUACCAUUGUAUUGGGUGUGUUGGGGACACAAGAGACUCUUUGUUAUUUGGUUGUAGGGUUGCUUGAGAGAGACCAUCUUCAUCCUACGCCUCCUACGGAUUGAUAAACCUUAGGUCAUCCACUUGAGGGAAAUUUGCUACUGUCCUACAAACCUCUGCACUUGGAGGCCCAACAACGUCUACAAGAAGAAGGUUGUGUAGUAGACAUCACCUCGUAUCUUUCCUUCUUCUGCCCCGCCAAGCCCGAUUGCAGGUGUGACUACGAUUGCCCAUGCACAAGUAAAGGGGUACAGAAAGCCCCCUACUUUUGUACACUGAUAGGAGCCCCCGAGCCUGGGCCAUAUAUAAGCGCAAGGCGUUGCUGGGCCAGGCCCAGAACGGUGCGCGGACAUGUGUGGCAGAGUUUUAACUAUGGUAACUCCUUCGCCAGUUGCGCUCCCCCACGACCCGCAUUGAGUGCGUGACGUGGGGUCGUGCGUGGAACGGUCGCAGCAUGCUUGCAUCACCUCACGGUGAAUAGUAAAGAGGCGGCCCAUGUCCUCCUCAUAAAAAAGAGGAAACCGCAGGGGCACUGCUCAUUUACCCUCUGUGCCCUUUCCAAUUUUGGAACCGCCGUUCCCCUCAUCUACUCUAAGCGCGAACCGAAGCUUUCGCCUCUGCUCGCCACCGCCAUAGCCGCGCCCCCCGUUGCUCUCGAUCCCUUACCUCUUCUCAGCCACCAUGGCACCCAAGACAGGCAAGGGCAAGGGAGUGGCCAAUGACGUUGGGGAGAAAGAGGCACCGGAGAGCGAGUUGGUGGGGAUGCAGAUGGAAUGCACCCUCUUCACCUCGAUGGUCGACGCGCUCACCCUCAAGGAGAAGUUUAGGCCCUUGUGGGGGACUGAGACGUCGGAGCACCCAGCCACGCGUAUCAUCCCCGCCUCCUUUGCCAAGGCCGGCCCAAAUCGGUACCCCUUCUUUGUCAAUUACUUCUCCUGCGGGCUCUGCCCCCUUUCUCUGAUUUCUUCAACAACAUCAUGCACACCUUCGGCUUCCAUCUUCUGGAUUUUAUGCCGAACGCCGUGGCGUGCAUGGCCUUCUUUGCCCACCUUUGUGAGGGCUUUGCUUGAGUGCAUCCCAGCACGACGCUCUUCCGCCACUACUUCACCCCUCGCAUCCAGCAAGGGGCGCCAUCUCUGGCUGCAUCGCCUGGAUCCCGAGGACACAAAGCAGGGGCACGUACCCGGAGGGCACCCAGAAGGACAGGUGGGAAGAGUGGCGGGGCCAGUGGUGCUUCAUUGUGGAGGAGGAUCCAUAGGAGUUCUGCCCGGUCCAUCGAAAGCCACCGGUCCGCAGGAAGGACUGGGGCGAUGUCCACGCCCACGACAAGAAGCUCACGGUAUCCACCACCAGGAUCCAUCGCCUCACCUCGGCCGGGCUCACUCUCGAGAUGAUCGGGGCCGAUUUCAUCCGUCGCCGGAUUGCCCCGCUGCACAAUAAGGGGAGGCCGGCUUGAGACUUCAGGAACGCGGCCAACAUCAUGAGGCUCUGCCCCAGUCUGAAUCACAACUUCACGGUGCUGCAGCACGACCACCUCUGCCAGAGGCUUUUUCAGCUCAAGGUCGACGAGGGCGGCAGGGCCGAGAAGACCGGCAAGGCUGGCAAGGCCGGCAGGUCUCUGUUUGGGUUGUCAGUGGAGGUGGUCCCGCUAAGCAACAACUCUUGCCAGACCACCAUCAUCGCCAUGAUGCCGGUCUUAACGCGCAUGGCCUCGGCCACCCUUGGGCCGAGCCAGGAGCAGAGCUGGUGCAGGAAUUCUUCGACAACUUGUCGGAGAGGUACGUUCACGACGAGCCGCAACUCAUCCGCGAGACCACCGCAGAGGAGCUAGAAUACAUCGCCGCCCGGGCAGAGGAGGCAGCGCUUGCCGAGGAGGCCGGCAGCCUUGGCACCAUGGAAAAUGAGGCCGACGUGGCCGUAGAGGUGAGAAAGUUUGCCAAGUGGACGGGAGCUGCCGGGGGUCCAGUGAUGCCGGCAUUGGGGUUCCCCUUGUUGAAGACAUGGUCGAGGAGCCAGCCAAAGAGGAGACCGAGGCGAAUGACCCCCGGCCACGGAGAGAAAGCGUGUCCUGCGGCGGGCUAGCUCCGACGAGCCGGUCCAGCCCGGCAGGACCACACAGCGGCAACAGGCCCAGGCGCAGCCCGUGUGUGAGACAAGGGCUGCAACAUCAAAGAAGGCCGUGGUCGCCGCUACUUCCUCAUCCAAGCGGCGCAGGACGCCUUCGCCUUCCCCUCCCCUCGCGGGCGCCGCCCCGGAGGCCGACUUCAACCUUGGGUCCUUCAGCCCGAAGAGGAAGAGGAGGCCAGCAGAGGAGGUCGAGUAAGCAUCUCGCCCUUCAUCAUUUCUGACGCUCAGUGUGUGCCAUCUUCCCUGACUUGAUCUUAUCUUUGCAGCGACACGGAGACGCUGGCUUAGAGGGUGGUGAAGAGAGCCAAAGCUUCGAUGGGUGUCCAGUCCCCGGCGAGCACUCCGCGCACGCCGGUGUUGGUGGUGAUCAUCCCGAACAACAGCCCUCGAUGCAGCCCCCGCUUCAGCCCCAGCGCGAGUUCAUCAUUCACUUCCCAUUGGCGGGCGUUGGGGCGUGAACCCUUGGUGUUGACCUUGCCGGGUUUGCAGGAGGAGAGCGGCAACAGGAGGAGCCACUGAGGGCCACCCUCGACACGCCGCCCCCGUCAACCACGCCACCCAGAGGGGCGUCACCGGCUAGGGCACCUUCCGCCGAGCCCACGCGCAUGGAGGAGGAGGAGGCAAGCAUGGGAACUGGUGGCUCCGUCCCGGCAAUGAAAGUCGGAGGGGAGGGAACCACUUCUGCUUAGCCCGGCAUAGGUAAGCAGCCCGCCUCCCAUCCCUUGCUAUCUCUGCCAUGCAAUGUCCUCUCUUUUCUUUAUUCCAAACUUUGAUUUUGUCAUCGUCUUAUCCUCCUUUCUGGGUUCUAGACCCUCCCUCGAUGGACCAGGAGGAUAUCGACACCGUCAUUGAGGAGGUUGCCAGGGAUGCCGAAGCCGAGGCCACCAAGAUCGCGGAUGACGAAGCCACCAGGUCUGCUGCCGAGGAGGCCGGCAAGGAGCUUGCCGGGGAGGCCAGCAAGGCCACUACUGAGGAGGCCGCCAAGGAGCCUGCCGGAGAGGGGAUGGCUGACGACCAACCUUCCUCCCCACAGCCCCCACCUCAGGCAGGUACUUGAAUAUGGGGGACGACCUAUUCAUCCGCCUCCCAGGGACGGCGAGCGCCAGAGUGCCAGCCGAAGGGGAGGUGUUUGAUGAUGAGGCGCUCGCCACCGCCGGGCUCUAGGUUGUUGACAAACCAAGCACCGGCGGUGAGGGUUCCGAAGAGGAGCAGCUUCUCCGAGCCGUGAGCGCCAACUUCUAGAAGCUCCAAGUGCUCCACCGUGCCCCCAAGACCAAGUGAAAUCCAGAAUGGCGGCGGUGGACAAGGCGGAGACGAAUUUUGAGGAGCGCGUCACUCAGACUCAUGUCUGGUUUGGCGAGGCCCGAGAAGAACUAUGGACUCCCCAGGGUGAGCUGGAUGAGCGCAAGUGAGAGCUCAUCAUGAAGCAGGCCGAGAUCGAGAAGGCCUAAGAGGUGGCGAAGGAACAGGCCGCCCGGGUGCAGCAACAAAUUCUGCUAGACACCCAGAAGGAAGAUCUUGUUGCCCGCGAGCAGGCGCUUGCCGCCACGCAUCACGGCAAGGAUGAGGAGAUCGAGAAGAUCAUCGUGCAGCAGACCCAGGAGCUGGAGCAGAGGCACAAGGAGGCACUCGAUGCUCUGGCCCUGGACCAUGCCGGCAAGGUGGAGAAGCUAGAUCCGGAGCGGGAGGAGCUGAAGAAGAAGGUCUUGGAGCUGACGGAGGAGAGGGACACGGCCAACCGCGCUCUGGCGGAUUCGAAGGUCACCAUCUCCGACCAGAUCAAGCUGCACUCCGAGGCCAACGGCUCCAUUGAAGGUUUGAAGCUGCAACUGGGCGCUUUGGAGGGGAAGCUUUCAGAGGCCACGGCCCGGGAGGAGACCCUGAACAAGGCCCUCGAGACCGAAAAGCGGUUGCGGAGUGAUGACGCUGCUGCCCACAAGGACUAUGAGGACAGUGUGAAUCUCUGGAUCAGUCAUCUCAUCGGCGUUGCAGAGAAGCUCACCGCGCAGCUAUCCAUCAUGGGCAUGCCAGACGUCAGGUUCUCCCAGGAGGUGAACACAAGCCCCGAUGCCAGGCUGACCUUGUUCUUCGAGCGCGUCCUCGGUGCCUUGGAGCAGCUCCGCUCCAAUCGAGCGACCUAUUUGGCCAAUGAGUCCCGGAGGCUUUGCCAGGGUGCCCUGACCAAGGUGCUCACCAAGGUGGCGUUCUGGAACCCCGGCGUUGACUUCGCCGAUGCGCUUGAGAGCUUGCGGGAGGGCACGGACCUCGCAGCGCUCGAAGAGCGUAUCGAUCCCAUCAUCAGCUGCGUCGACGGAGUCAAGAGGGUGGAGGUCCAGCGCCGGGACUAGCCACCCCAUUUCUCCUUGCCGCCACGAGUUCAUGCCCAAGACAAUUUAUCUUAAGUUAGAACCGCGGUAAUCACUGAUGUAAUAUAACUUUUCAGUGCUUUGAAAUUAAGCAUGCUAUCUUUCUGUUCGAUCUUUCCUUGUAUGUACACACCCAACGCCUAGUUGGAUAGCUUUGCUAGCGCGUAAACCCAUGUUGUGGCACUUUGAGGAAUGGAUCCUUAGCAGCCUGCCGGGGGGCGCUUGCUGCCGGGAAAAUCACCUUGCCGUUCUCAGCGCAGCCGCCUGAUCUGUUGAGCGGACUAGAAACAGGACAAGGGCGCUGCCAAUAGCGGAAGGGUUCCCUCGCGUGCAGCUUUUCCAUACAAGGAGCAAGAUCUUUCGAGGAAGAUAACCUUAUGUAAAAA
rnacentral:lncRNA from 1 species